rnacentral:lncRNA from 1 species
UUCAUAAAGGACCACCAUAGGUCUAUAGUUUACUUUUUUUUUUUAAAUGGUAAACUUCGAUUUGUUUAUACUGUUCUAAAUCGUAAUCAUUUGACUUGUUCCAAGCCAUGCACCUCUAGAAGAAAGUCUAUAUUGUGGCCAAGGCUACUAUACUAUUAUGAGUAUUGGAGUCCUCGUACUCAUAAGUUGUUUUCAAUGAUGGAGCUUCCGAAUCGACGAUCCACUCCGUUAAAUAUGAUUUAGAGUAUUUGAAAUUUCUAGAAAAUAAAUUUCGUAAAUUUUUGAAAUUAUAAUAAAGUUCAUCAAGCGGGCAUAAAAUGAACGGUCAAAAUCGAACGACGUCCUAAAAAAGAAUGAUCGGAUCCUUCAAUUCAAGAUCGGAGUUAUUGAUCUUUAUCUAUGUAGUGAAUAGAAUUUUCUAUCAAAAAUUCAACAAAUUUCGAUUCUUUUACACCGUUAAACUAGCAAGUAUCCCAUACUGGCCGUUAAAAAUUGUCAAAUUUGUGACCUCUUGAUCGUAAGGUAAAUGAUAUCGAAAAAUUAUAAAAUUUGAUUUCUAGAAGUUUUAAAUGCUGUAAAUAACGUUUAACGGUGUGGAUCGUCGAUUUGGAAGCUCUAUCAUCGAAAACAACUUAUGAGUACGAGGGCGAUCGUACUUAUAAUAGUAUAGUAGCCGGACCCCUAUAUUGUAACAUUUAUACCUCAUUUUCUAUCCCAUGUCAAUCACACCUCUUUUUUUGAAAUUAAACUACGAUAAUUUUUUUUUUAUUUUAAUAACCAUGAUGUGAUGAGCGAAUCCAAGGAGAUAGAUCUGAUUGGUUGGUAAACUAUAUCAGUAAUAUAACUGAUGCAUUCUAGACUUUUUACACUUAAGCACAUCUUGUGUAGUAGUGGUAGUGCUACACAUACUCUACAGUAUACUCAACACCUAUAGAAUAGAAAAUAAUGAAACCUCAGUUAAAUGUACACGUGGCGUUAAGAGGGAGUCGGUAGUGGUGGGUGUGGGGUGGGGGUGGGGGUGCGGGUAGGGAUGGGGACGGUGCCAGUCCGGGUGAGGGUGGCGUUGGGGUAGGGGUGUAAAAUGAGCCGGGCAGCCCGCAAGUCGCCCAGCAAGACACGAUACUGGGUCGGACCAAGGCACGACACGAGUACUGUAGCAUCUGUGCCGGGCCGGACCAGUCCAGUCUAAUAAAUCAGGUCGUACUAAGCCGCCUUUUUGUGGCCCGGCCUAAUAAGAGCUUUGGGAGUUGGGAGCCAGGGCUGUAUGCCUUUAGCCUCUCGCAAGGCUUUUGGUCCCUUUUGGACCAAAAUACUCUCCCGUUUUGACUGUUGGGAGAGUAUUUUGGUCCAAAAAAUAUUAAAAAUUUUUAAAUGAUUUUAAAAUUUUAUUAUUUUUAUAAAUAUAUUUUAAAAUUUUUUAAAAAACUUUUCAUAUAUUAUUUUUAAAAAAUAGUAUUUUAAUUUUUAAUUUUUUUUAAAUUUUUAUAUAUUUUUAAAUAAAAUUAAAUAAAUAAAAACGAUGGCCUGAAGUCUGACCCGGCCCGGCCCGGCCCGUACCUUCCGGCCCGGGGGGCCGUGCCAGGCUGGCUUCCAGCAUGUUUCAGUCCAGCUUAAUGUAGAAGUAUUGCAUCGCCUCUACGUUAAUAUUUUGUCAAUAUUUAGCCAAUAAAAUUGAGUUGUGGUACUUGAUUGUAAUAAUUUAGAACAAAUCAAAGUUUGAGGACUGAAGUGUUAAACGCCUCAUAGUUGGAGGAUCAAAUGUGUUAUUUACCCUUUCAGAUUUUAACAAAGGCUUUUAAACUUCCUCAGGUUGAAUAGUUACUAAUAAUAGUUAUACAGAAUUAAUUAAGGUGAUCAAAUUGAAGGUUUUAAGGGCCAAGAUUAAUUAACUUUGCAUCUCAAGUUAACUAAAGGGACCACCCAUCUUAUUUUCUUUUUAUUUUUAUUUUUGGUUUUCUUUCUCUUAAGCACGGCUUAAACUAUUCAGAAUUUAAACAGUUUUUAUAAAAUUACGUAAUAAUUAAUUACUGAAUAAAUAAUUAAAUACAUACUAUGCAAAACUUAUGUUAAAAAUAAAGUUAAAAAGUAAAAAAAAAAAAAAAAAGGUUAAAAUCUAGACAGGCUCAUAGCUCGGCACAGCAUGAUGCUAAUCUCAGAUUUAAAAGAUUUAAUUACAUUAUGAUACGCUGUAUCUUAUAAUUUUUUUUUUUUUUUCACUUUCUACACUAUAGUAAUUUUUUUAGCUAAAAUAUAAAAAAAUUCUCAUAUAAAUAUCUAUUUUUUUUAUUUUUUUAAAAUUUUUAAAAAUUUAUAUCUUACCUUUUUAAAAUUUCGGAAAGAUAAAUAAAGAUAUGCAUAAAGGACCACUAUAGGUCUUUAGUUUUUUUUUUUUUUUCAAUUUUAAACUUCAAUUUGUCUAUACUUGUUCUUAGUCCUAAUCAAUUGACUUGUUCCAAGUCAUGCCCUUCUAGAAGCGCCUCUUGUGUAGUAGUAGUGGUAGUGCUGCACGUACUCCAUUAAGUACCCCAACAUGACCUCCUGCGGAGGAGGAUUGGCGAGGGAUUAUCCGUAAAAAAUAAAGUAAAAUCGACGGAUGGCAAGCGAAACUAUUGUUAAGGGGGGGCAGACUCAUACUAGUGAACGUUAUACUUACCAACCUUCCCAUUUACUUCCUCUCGGUAUUUAAGACACCUACAUGGGCCAUUAAAUAUAUUGAGGCACUGCGGAAAGACUUCUUUUGGAAUGGGGCACACAACUCACCAGAUAAGAGUUGUCUAAUAUCUUGGAAAAGCGUUUGAUAAAUCUCAAUACCAAACUAAGUCUAAGUCUACAAUCCGAAAGAGUCGUAACCUCUCCGUCCUUUAUUUUUGUUGAACAUUUUAUUAAAUUGAAUCACUCAAUUAGCUAUUAGCGAUCAAUUAUUUUAAUUUUAUUUGCUAAAAAGUAAUUAAAAUUAUUAUCAAAUUUAAUAAAUUUAUUGCUGAAUUUGAUAAAAUACUUAAUUUAUUUGACUAAAACCACUUGAUUCAAACAAAAAAGAAAAUUUAGGGGUAUGGGCCCAGUCGAGUGCAGGUGGCGGUGGGUAUGGGCCCAGCCCUUUCUUAAUUUUUUUAUUUUAUUAUUUUUCUCCCUUCACUGAUUUGGACUUAGAGAAUCAAGCUCACUUAAAUAAAAUAUAAAUUUUAAUUUUAUAAUAUUGGUCACUUAGAUAUGAAUUGUACAAUAAAAAUAAAAAAGAGAUUGACAAAAUUUCAGCUACUUAAUUAUUUUAAUAAAUUUAGUUGCUAGAAUUAUAUGUAGUCAAAAUAUUAUUGACUGAUUCAAAUUUAAUAUAUAAAAAGGUUGGAUAGUAAAAAUAAAAUUUUGAAAGGUUAGACAGCUAAUUCAAGAUGGUUCAUAUUUCAGAAAAUUCUAUAUGUUUUUAUUUUUAUUUUAAUAGCAAACUUCAAUGGCAUAUUUAUCGUCUGAUGAGCGAUUAAUUUUAUAUUUAAAAUCUUUUGAAAUAUCCAAAAUAUAAUUAGUCGAUUUUUAAUUUUAACAAUUAGGCAUUCUAAAUUAUUAGAUAGUUUAACAUAUUCGUUCCUCAAAUGAAAUUACUAAUUAAACAAAAGCGAUCGAUGCCCAACUCUGUAUUCGUCUGGAAUUAAAUUAAAAUAUAAAAAAGAUAAAUUAUGCUUUUGGUCCUUAAACUAUAAGACGGAUGACAUUUUAGCUCUCGAAUUUUAAUAGAUUACAUUUUCUUACUCAAACUAUAAGGCAAGUGGCGCUUUAAUCCUCAAACUUUAAUUAGUUAUAAUUUCUAUUUCCAAUUACGAGGCAUAUGAUAUUUUAAUUUUCAACUUUUAUUGUUGUUAUAAAUAUAAUCUAUCAUGCUUAUUAUUUACAAGCAACAAUAAUAAACAAUGGAUGAAAGGAAUUGAAUCCGCAACAUUACGUGGGACCUAACGAACGGGCGGAUUGGGUGGCCCGUGGGCCGGUCAUUCUAUCUGUGGGUUAUAUGGGCAUGGGUACGAUUUACUUGUAAUUUUUUGGGUGGCCAAUAUAUUUACUCAUACCCGCCUGCAGGUGAGCGAAUGGGUAUGCAGGUUACCCACAACUAUAUACAUAUAUAUAUAUAGUAGGGCUGCUGUGCUCUUAGGAGCACGGAGGCCUCCGUGCUCCUGAGCCGUCUUUGAUGAUGGAAUUUUCGAAUCGACGAUCGGCUCCGUUAGACUUGAUCUAGCGUAUUUGAAGUUUCUAGAAAAUAAUUUUUGUGAUUUUUUGAUAUCAUUUACCUAGCAAUCGAAACGAUUCAAAAUCAAUAAUUUUUAACGGCUGAAAAUAAAAAUCCUAUAAAAAGUAGUGAUAUAGCGCUAAAAUUUUCGAUCAGAAAUGUUGAUCUUGUUGUAGAUAGUAUAAAAAAAUUUUGUAUCAAAAUUUCAUCUGAUUUGAAUACUUCUGCACCGUUAAACUUGAAAACGGCAGAUAUCAAUUAUUAAAAAUUAUUGAUUUUAAAUCCUUUCGAUCACUAAGUAAAUGAUAUCAAAAAAUCGUAAAAAUUAUUUUCUAGAAACUUCAAAUACCUAGAUCAAGUCUAACGGAGCCGAUCGUCGAUUCGAAAAUUUCAUCAUCGAAAAUGGCUUAGGAGCACGGAGGCCUUUGUGCUGCUGAGAGCACAGCAGCCCUACUAUAUAUAUAUAUAUAUAGAACUAGGCUGGAAUACUAUUAAUAGCACCAAUGACUUGGUGCUAUUAAGUUUUCUGUCCUUGGAUUAAAGGAUGUGCGGUUAGGAUGAUGCGGGCCUCCUAGGGUUGAGUCGGUGGUUGGUUGAAUAGUAUAAUCGAAUGGAUGAAAAUGAUAAAAGAAGUAAAUCUAGUGGUAGAAAACUUGACAGCACCAAAUGCUUCGUGCUAUCCCUAUACUACUAUACUAUCAAUAUUACCAAGUCUACGGUACUAUUGAGUUUUCGGCCGUUGGAUGAAUAUAUAUAUAUAUAUAUAUAUAUAUAUAUAUNNNNNNNNNNNNNNNNNNNNNNNNNNNNNNNNNNNNNNNNNNNNNNNNNNNNNNNNNNNNNNNNNNNNNNNNNNNNNNNNNNNNNNNNNNNNNNNNNNNNCAGAACACGAGCUAAAUUUUUUGGCUCGAUACUUUAACGACGAGCCAGCUCUUGUUGGGCUGGUUUAUUAAACGAGCCGAACACGAGCCGACCCAGCUCGCUCGUGUUCGGCUCAUUUACACCCCUACCUCCAUGGCUAUAAAAAUGCAUUAGAUUUUUGUUCAUGCAUUUGUUUCAUAAAAUAAUACUCACAUUUGGGCAGUAGUUACACAUGCUUUAAUUUUCUCUCUUCAGUGCAGCUUCCACACUCUGGGAUCAACUUUAGGUAAUCUUCUUCUUACUUCCUGUAGUCGAGUAUAAGCAGUGUGAGAAAUUUUUAUUGGUCAUUUUGCAUUAAAAUGUACUUAAUUUCCCCGUUUUUUUUGCAUCUUUCUGCACUCUUUUUUUUUCUUGUUUUUGCAACUUCUGACAGAAUUUUUUGUUUUUUUUUUUAAAGAGGACUCUUGAGUGAAAAUUUUCUUCAUAGAUCUUAAAAAAGAAAAAAAAAAAAGAAUAAGAAAUUUUUAGUUAAAAUAUUUUUGUGCAUCUUUCUGUACUCUUUUUCUUUCUUGUUUUUGCAACUUCAUAGAUCGUUGUAAAACCAUCCCGAAAAUUUUUUUUUCGGUUGAAAAGUUAAAAUCUACCGUUUGAUUGCUUGUAAAAAAUUUUUCCCGGAAAAUUUUUUUUUACAGAUUCGGCGUAAAAUGGGAGUUUUCGUUUUCCGCUCGAAUCGAGCGAAAACGAAAAGCGCGGCGUUGGGCACGCCGCGCGGGGGAUGUAAAUCACGCGGUCCACAAGAUCCGCUCCAUGUCGUGGACCGCAUGAGGAGAGGAUGGAUCUCGAUAUAGUACAGAUACAGUAUAUAAUCAUGUUAUUAUAAAUAUUAUUUAUAAAAUCUUAGCUUACUAUUAAAGUCAUUAAUUAUGAUAUACACCUCAUUAAUAAUUAUAGUCAUAUAAAUUUAUAAUUGUAUAAAAUAUAUUUAUAUUAUUAAUUAUCAAACUAGCUUAAAUUAUCAAUAUUAUAUAAAGUCAAUAUGAUAUCAUUAUAUAUAUAUUAUAAUAUAUAAUUAUACUAUAACAUAUAUAUUAUACUUACACACUAAAUAAUUUUUAUUUAUAUUUCUCUUUCUUUUCCUAUUUUUCUCUUCGCAACAAAUCUUAAUGAAAAACAUUUUUUUUAUAUCCCCCUGCGACCAAACCGCUAAGGCGUAAAGUUAAUUUCCCUCUCGAAAAUUUUUGUCCACAAAAUCCUUUUAUUUUCGGGCAACGUUACUAUAUGGAAUCGCCCACCUUAGUAAAUUGAAAGAAUUUCUAAAUUUUUUAGUAAACAUGUAUAGAUAUCAUAUACUAAUCACCCUCACCAGAUUUCUCCAUACUGGACUAGAUAAUAUUAUAAUUCUUGAUUUCUACCCUAAUACCUUUUAACCUAUUUGAUUUGAACAGUUAAUCUUACGUCUUAUACUUUAAAUUUUGAGUACUACUUACCCCCUAAUUUAUCGACAUACUUUAUAGAUUAAUUAAAUACAUCUAUAGCAAUUCAUAUAACUGUACCAAUAUUAAAUUAUCAAUAUGCUAAUAUUUUACUUACUUGGCAGAGCAUCGCCUAUUGAUCUUAAAUUCAGACAACAUCUGAUAAGAUUGGUGUCUAAUAUAAAAAUUUUGAAAUGAUACGGUAGUACGAAUUCGAAAAAUGUCUGAAUAGUAUUAGGCGACGGGUUUAAGGCCCUUGGAUCUAUUGUUUAACAUAUGGGGCUCAUCAAUCGCUGCCUACGGGUUUAAUAUCAUAAUGAUGUAUUUGGAUUAUUUUCUCUAAAUUAAGGUGUAAGAUUUUCUUUUAUUUGGGUUGAUUUGUGCUGUUAUUUUAUUAGUGAUGAGAAUUUAUACAGCAUCCGCAUUAGGAAAAAUUUCCCCCUGACCUUUUCUUGUUCUUACCCACAAUGAUUUUUUUUUUAUGCUUAUUUGUUUUUUCUAUUGUGAUUUGUUAUUGUUAAUUAAAAUACAAUAAUUCUUAUGAAAUUUAAUUGCUAAGAGAAUAUUUCAUAUAGGCGAUUUUAUUUCACUGUUGCGCACCAAAGUCUAACUUAGCAUACUCGCAACUCAUAAUUGUAUGAAAUAUUUGAUGUUUUUGGUAAUUAAUACACUAGCUUAUGAAUCAGAUUUGUUGGAUAUAUAUUUGUAGCAAUGCCUCCUGAUACACCCAAAACAUCCUUAACCAUUAAAAUUUUUAAAUGACGGCCAAGAUGCCCGCUUUGAAAGAGGAAAUGACCAGUAUUUGAUAACAAUCGUAUCAGUCACCUAACAUAAUUGGCGCACAUUUUUUCUUUUUUUGCAACAAGGGCCAUUUUGGAAAAUUUACAUCUUAUAACAUAUCCUCUUAGCUAGAAAGGUUUGGCGUUACAAGUAAGGAGAUUGCUGAAGUACCUUUCCUAAAUUAACUUUCUUUACUAACUAUAAUGCUAUUCAAAUUUUAAAUAAAAAAUGAUAUAUUAUUGAAAUCAUUUAGUCUACCCCUUAAACUCGAACCUGACUUAAACCAAGGUUAAAAGUUUAGCCAAUUUUGAAUUUAUUUGUAUGAUUUGAUUAUGAAAUAAACUCUUAAAUUUGUUUCUAAUUUAAAAUUUUUUGCAUCGAAAAUUAUAUGUAAAUAUAAAAUAUUGCAACUGAAAAAUUAUAUUAUACAAUUUCUUAGUAAUUGAAUAUGAAAUAUUAUCCCCAAGUGAAUGUUUGAAAGUUAAUUUUCAAACAUAGAAUAAUUUAAUUUAAAUAGUUAACAAAUUUUAUUUUUUUAACUAUAAUAUAAACUAAAUCUAAAUUUAAAAUUUAAUUUUAAUCAAUAUUUUUGAACUUUAAUAUUGUUUUUACUAUCGAAUGAACAAUUUGAAUUUAAUUUUAAAAAUAGAAGCCUUUAAUUUAAAUAAAAAAUAAAAGUUAUGUUUAUAAAUACAGCAUAAUUUACAAUUUCACAUAAGUUAAUUGUUAAUUUGAAAUUUCGUGUCAUUUUAAUAUCAAAUUAACAAUUUGAUUUGAAAUAUACUAAUCAUUUAAACAUAAAUUUUUUCAUUCAGAAAAUUAAAAUUAAAAUUAAAUUUGAAUUUAAUAUACACAAUUAUAAAGUUUAAGCUCAAAUUUAUUUUUAAAUUCAAUUUUAUAAAUGUUUAUUACUUAUCAAAUUAGUACUAUCUAAUUUGGUAAGUAACAAAAUUAAACAAGGAAACAUAUAUUUGUGUAGGGUUGAUUAAAUUUGGUAAUUAGUUUUUAUUUAUUUUUCCAUAUUACCCUUACGAAUAGUAACAUGUUGAGCAGGUUACUACCUAGUGUAUUGAAGCAUUUCUCUAUAUUUGUUUGUUUGUUUUUUUUUUUCUUUAUUGAACAUGAAAAGAUAAUAUUUUGGCCUUGGUUGGAUGAACUUAGGUUUUCUUUUUUUGUUUUUAAACUUGGCUUCUAUGUGACCAAAUGUGCCUGCAGCUGCUUUCUGUUUUCUUUGUUAUUGUUGGUUAGCGUGCAAUGCUCUGAUCAGAUGCCAAAUAGCCUCGUCUAAUUAUUGUUUAGAAAAAAAAAAGGACAUAGAAGCAAGAAGAAAUUAGUGCUUUCUUUUUGUUCCUUGUCGCAAACAAUCUGUCACUUGUGGAAAGAAGCAAUCAAGCCUAACCUCAUGUGAAAGUAUAUAUUUUUUCUUUCUCUUUUUUGUGAAUUACAAUGUUUGAUGUUGUUAGAUAUACGAACAACCAUUAUUCUCUAAAAGUUUAAGCUGCAAUAAUACGAUGUUCUUAAGAAAGAAAUUAAUAAUGCUGAGAGGCUGAUGGGACUCGAACUCAGGACUUCUGCCGCUCAAAAUACUAUAGUAAUGUUUAUAGGUUUAGCCCUAUUUUAUCUUAUAUAUAGGACUAUUCUAAAUCCCUACGGUGUCACAUUCUUCUCCCUUUUAAACCCCGAUAUUCUCGCUGGGCUCAAGCACCCGCCCUGACAUUCCCGUUAGGCUCGAGCACCCUUGUCACAUUCCUCCCCCUUAUGCCCUAACAUUUCCGUGAGGCUCGAGCACCCACCCUGACAUUUAGAUUCUGACUCAGUCGGGACUCAUCUCUCUCAGUGCUCAGUCGAGACUCAUCUCACACUUCAGGUUGGUAAUUGGCUCAUGUUCUUAACGAGAAAAUUAAUAAUGCUAGAAGGCUGGUAUGAUUCAAACUCAAGACCUCCUACUCUGGAACCAUGUUAAAUAUAAUGAAACAGCCUUUGUUCUCUAAAAGCUGAAACUGCUAGCUAGAGCACGAUGUUCUUAACAAUUAUAUUCGACAUAUGUUUCAAUAUCAGCUACAUAUUUCUCAUCCUGCUCCUUUAUCCUAACUACUAUUGCCGUUCAAAUAACUUCAGGAUUGGAUUGCUGCUAUAACAGUAUAACAUCGCAACAGCAGAGUUAGGCAGCAUGGCCGAAGCUGCGGUGUUUCAUGUACUCAACAAGAUUGCAGCUUCGUUGGCAGGUACAAUAAGCGAUGAAUUAGUCAAAGAAGUGUCGGCCUUGCUAGCAGUCAAGAACAGCAUGAAACAAAUCAAGAGCGAGUUUGCGGUGAUGCGAGCCUUUGUAAGUCAAGUCAACGCAUACGAUUCUCGUAACGAAACCUUGGCGGCGUGGCUCGAACAAGUCAAGAAGGUUGCAUUCGAAGUCGAGGAUAUAAUCGACGAGUACACUUAUCUCGUUGGGAAAGAAAACGUCAGCAGCUUCUGGAAUUCCCUGAAGCAAGCGUUUCGUCAUUCGAAAAACAUCGCCGCAUGGCACGGUAUCGCCGAUCAGCUCAAACAGGUGGAAACUCGUCUAGAGAGGCUCACAAAAAUGAGACACCGGUACGGCAUUUCAGUGAGAGAAACCGCGUCGAAUUCCACUGCUCUUAGGCAGCGGCGAGCGUUCGAUAUUCCGCACUUGAGCAACGAAGACGAGAUCGUGGGGAAUGAUGAGGAAACCAAAAGGUUGAUUGAAUGGCUGACCGACGGGAGGGAAGCUCGCGCCGUCAUUUCCAUUUCGGGCAUGGGAGGGUUGGGUAAAACAACGCUGGCGAACAGCAUUUUCAAGAAUCCGACAGUUAAACGCCACUUCAACUGGAGCGUAUGGAUCUCCGUCUCGCAAAGCUAUCGAGUCGAAGAUCUACUGCGAAGGAUCUUAACACACAACACGGGCAAAAACGAGGAGAUUCUAAAUGGCAUCGACACUAUGGACCGGAUUGAACUAGCGGAGAAGGUUCAAAUCUAUCUGCGGGAAAAAAGGUACUUGAUCGUCUUAGAUGAUGUUUGGAGCAGAGACCCCUGGUCUUCGUUGGAUCACGCGUUCGUGAGAAACAAUUUCAGGAGCAGAGUGAUCAUCACGACGCGGACGGAAGAUGUGGCUUCGUUGGCGGACGAGAAUCGCCGCUUACGGCUUAGCACUUUGCCGAAGGAGGAAGCGUGGGAUCUGUUCUGCAAGAAAGCGUUCUCGAAGCUCGCGGAGAAAUGCUGCCCGGAGGAUCUUAAGGACUGGGCUGAAAAGAUUGUGGACAAGUGCCAAGGGUUGCCGCUCGCUGUCGUGGCGAUCGGCAGUCUGUUAUCCUACAGACGGCAGCAGGAGCAGGAGUGGAAGUCGUUCUACGAUCAGCUUAGCUGGCAGCUGACGAACAAUCCGGAGCUGAACUGGGUGGCGAGCGUUCUAAAUCUCAGCUUCGACAACCUGCCGAGCUAUCUAAAGAACUGCUUUCUGUACUGCGGCCUAUUCCCAGAGGAUUAUCUGAUAAAGCGGAAAUGGUUGAUCAGGCUGUGGACGGCCGAAGGAUUCAUCGAAGAAAGGGGGCCGGAGACGACAAUGGAGGAAGUGGCCGACGGCUACGUGAAGGAACUCGUUCAUCGAUCGAUGCUACAGGUCGUGGAACGGAACGACUUUGGAAGAGCGAAAACGCUUCAAAUCCACGAUCUCGUGAGGGAAAUAACUCUGACCACGUCGAGAAAGGAAAAAUUUGGGAUCGUGUGCAACGGCCCGGGGGCAACGGUGUUGAGGGAACAAGCUCGUCGCGUGUCCGUUCAUAAAGACGGAUUGACCUCACAACCAAAUGGAAAUUUACGACAGCUUCGCUCGUUUAUUUUGUUCGAUAAACAACUGCCGCCAUCUAGUAUCGAAAACGCUUCAUCAAGUUUCAAGUUACUGAGGGUGCUCUGCUUGCGACACGCCAAGAUGGAGCAGAUCCCGGACGCGGUGUUCGAUUUGUUCAACCUGCAUUAUCUGGACUUACAAUACACGGAGGUGAAGAGCAUCCCGAAGUCGCUGGGGAAGCUCCAGAACCUGCAGACGCUCGACCUGAACGUGACCCGCGUGGAGAAACUGCCGCGUGAAGUCGCGACGCUGACGAAGCUGCGGCACCUGUUCGUGAGCUGCUACUACGACUUCGAGUGCAGAAUUUUCGACUGCUUCAGCGCGGUGUCGGUCCCGCACGACAUCUGCCGCCUGAAAGGCCUGCAGACGCUGCUCAACAUCAAAGCCGACAAGUUCUUGAUGCAGAACAUCGGAAGCUUAACGUCACUACGUAAUCUUUUUGUCAUGAAAGUGCGAGGCGCCUACUGCACGGAGUUGUGGGCCUCCCUGAAAAUGAUGCCCGGGCUCGUCACGUUGGGCGUCGUCGCGAGCGACAAAGACGAAUUGCUUCGUCUGGACAGCGUGCACCCGCUGCCGAGCCUGCAUAAGCUCUACUUGCAAGGAAGGCUGGACGAGGACGAGGCUCCGACCGUGUUCGCCAGCUUCGGAAGGCUCCGAGACCUGGCACUAGGCUGGUCAGGGCUGCAGAAUGAUCCAUUGCAUGCCUUCUCGCACAUGUCGAGCCUCGUAAACCUCCAGCUCUACCGGGUCUACAAGGGGCCGCGGUUGAGCUUUCGCGCCGGCUGGUUUCCUAGGCUGAAAAACCUGUUUUUAGCCGACAUGGCGCAAGUGAGUGUUAUUGAUAUCGAAGACGGAGCCAUGGAAAGCUUGUAUCAGCUGCGGCUUAUCGGCCUGUCGAGCUUGACGGCUGCACCGGCGGGUGUCGUUUACCUGCAGUCGCUGCAGGAGAUGUAUCUCACCGAUAUGCCGCAGGAGUUCAUUGGGAGCCUCGAAACAAGUGAAUUUCCAGAAUAUUUGUCAAUAUAUAUAUUUUGAUAUUGUUUUUAUUCUUCUUGCAUCCACGCACUACUAAUACUCUAAUUAAUCCAAAUAUUAUCUCAUUGGCUACAUUGCACUUUUGGUCCUCAAUCUAUGCAACAUGUGACAUUUUGGUCCUCAAAUUUGAAUUUGUUAUAAUAUUUAGUACGUACUUUCUAUUUAGUUGCAAUCGAGUGCCACAUGAGUGUACUUUUGUUAGUUGAAUAAUGAUGUGUCGUUAAUGUGACGAUAAUGUUGCAUCUUAAUUAUUCAUAUAUUUCAUCAAUUAUAAUAAUACUGUAUCACCGUCACAUCAACGAGACAUCAUUAUUUAGUAAAUUAAAUUGUAUUGAAGUAUUUGGUUGCGACAUUCUAGGAUGUUUGAACAAAAAAAUUUCUACAAUUUAAAGUUCAAGUACCAAAAUGUAACACAGUUGAUAGUUUGAGAACUAAUAGUGCAAUUUAGCCUAUCUAAUUCUUCUCGUCAUCAAAUUUAUCAUCUCCAAACAUUUAUAUUUAUUCUUAUUUCUUCCCACUAGAUUUCUUUUCGUCCUGAGGUUGGAAUUAGAUUUUUUUUUUCCUUUUUUUUUUUAUUUUUGCAUGUCAAAUGAAUAAAAGAAAUUAUGGUACUCCAACUCUUUGACUCUGGCUCCAAUAUGGAGUCUGUAAAUAUUUGUAGCCUUAACUAAUCAAAGUGCAGGGUAAUACCGAAGAGGGAAUUGAUACUAACUUGUUUCCAUGAAUUAUUAGAAUUUUUUUCUAUUUUGUUUUAAUUUUUGGUGCUUGCAUUAGAAAAAUUCUUAAAAUCGAGGGAUUUAAGGAGUGAAAUUAAGACUUAUUUUAUAUAAAUAAGAUAAGGCCUUGUGCAUAAAAAGUUUUUGAGAAUUAAAAUUUAUUUUGAUUCCGCAUUAUUUUUCUUAACACGUAUGGCUGGAAUUCAAUUUGUGUGACUUUUUUUUUCUUUCUUUCUUUUUUUCCUCUCUUUUCCCUCCAUAUAUGCUAAUCUUGAUGCAGUAUUUAGCACACUACUUUUAGGGUAAAAGAGUACGUAUGGAGGUUCAUAUGAGUAGGAUGAGAUUGGAUCCAGAUCGGUGGAGCUUCCGCUGGUGAGGGCUAAAAUUAAAGACAAAUAAUAAUUUGCUCUCAAUCCGUCCCGAUCCGCUAAAAAUAUUGAGUGAGAGAUGGAGGAAGAGAUGAAAAACCCUUCCUUUGAUUUUCGAAUGAAGCGGUAAGUAGUAGUAAAAAAUAAGAUAAAAAUUAAUUUGUUUCGAAUCAGCCCCGACCCGCCAAAAAAAUGGAGCAAAAAAAAUGGAGCAAGCGGUAGGAGACUCCUCCCGCCCCAGGAUCCGCCACAUUUGCGUCCCUCCAUAUGAGGUUCAUCUUAGAGAUCUUCUUUUCCUUUUUUUAAAAAAAAAGAAAACCUCAAAUGAUUCCUUUAGUAAUUAUUUAAAAUCUUCUACAUCAUACAUGCCAAAACUCAUAAUGAUUGAAGAGAUUAUAACGCAAAUCGCAAGUUUAGAAAACCUUCUAAACAAUAUCGAAAGAUUUUAGGGACUACCAGGCGAACAACCUUAUUCAUCCGCAAGUUUCAUAUAAAUUAUUAUUCACCCAUAAUUCUUGUUCAGAGAAACCUACAUAUAAAAAUAAAAAAAAGGACUUAAAUGCAUGUGAAAUUACUUCGAGUUUAAAGCUCAUUAGCAACAGAAUGAUCACAUUUGGGCCGGUAGGUUUUCAUUUUAACAUGGCUUCACAUUCAUGUGUAUCAGAUGUCAAUGAGCUAAGUAGCUAAGUUUACAGAAAAGCGAGCACAAAGAUAUAACACAACAAGAAUUGUUUAAUAUUCUGAAUUGGAUUGAAGAGAAUAAGAUGACUAAGUAAUAUCAAAAGAGAGAAAGGAUUUACUGACUCAAAGGUGUCGGAUAUCACAACGAAUAGGGAGCGGAGCCGAUGUGGUAUACAACCAAAUGUUUUGGAAUGAAAUCCCAUUUUAUCUCUACCUCCAAAGGACCAAAAGUUCUGCAAGGAUAAGGCCCUAGGAUGAGAACAUCAAAUCCACCAUUUUCGUCGCUAUGAGAUUCGCGCAUUUUUACUUGAUGAACGAAAAGUGGAUUUGAUGGUCUCGCUGUGGGGACCAUCCACAUAAAGUUUUUGUUCCCUCUCAGGUGGUGGAAUUCAACAAUCCCAUCCAAAGAGAACGAUAUUUAAUCCGAUCGGAUUCCUCUCAGCAACUCCUGACACCUCCAAAUAACAUCUUGUUCUAUCCAAUCCAAUCAUGGAUAACAAACAAAACCCAAAGGAACUAUCAUUACACACGAAGUUAAUCAGUGAGGCAGGUUCUUAUCAUCAUAAAUAAAUAUCCCCCCUAGGAUGUACACACACACACACAUAUACUCGACUUGAUCAAUGUAGAGAUCUCAACACCAGAUUGAAGUAUCACCAAUAAUUUUCACAUUAUUUGGUCUCACUUGUGCAUCAAAGUCCUGCAGAAUUUAACCAAUAUAUAUAAUCAUUAAAACAUAGGAUAAAAAAUAUUAAUGUCAAUGGUUCAGAAACCAAGGAGCGCAAACAAAUGAAUAUAGGGAUUAAUGUCCUCAGCAUCAAGGUGGUAUAAUAUAAAAAUUAGCAGAGACUAUCAGAAUAUAAAACUUGUAAUUAUGUUAAAACAGCAUUUGUGAAAUAUCUGAUUAAAAGUUGUUUAUGCUACAUGAUACUGUGAAAAGAAUGAUGGAUUCUUGGAUUAAUUAUAGGAUUCCUUUUUCUCUCUCUUCUCUCUCUCUCUCUUUUUUUUUUUUUGACAUAGUUCCCAAAGUCUGUUUUGCAUGGCAAUUAGAUCCUUUCAGUGUAUAUUGGCUAAACUAGACGCCAAGUCAGCACCAUCAUUAGACUUUGCUUAGCAAAAUGCAAACUCCGAAGAUGAAAAUGAAUGCGGAGUCAACCAAUAGGGACUAAAUGGUCGCAGUUAAAAUUAUGAGAACGAAAUCUAAGUACACCAGCAGGGACUAAAUGGCCAUGGUUAAAGUACUAAGAACGAAAUUGGAGUACACGCUAAAUUUACACCAGCAGCUUCCAAACUAACCCUACUUUCAUGAUAGCAGCAGGCAGUUCACGAACAUUCAUGAUGCAUGAUAGAGGAUUUGGUAAAUAGAAAGCUCAUUAUUCUUACAGAACUCAAUGACAAAAGUAAUUUUUGCGAAAAGUCAAUAGUUUGUUAUACUAGUUGAUACAACAUUAGUUUCAUAAGAAACUAUAGCAGUAAUUCUACAAUUUAAAGAUCCCGUACCUGUCUACAUUGCCAUUUCUGCUUGUAACGCCGCGAGUUCAUCCUCUUCAGCUGUAGUUGCAGUAGUUUUCUGAGGAGUGGCCCGAGCCGGUUGCUUACCAGCUGGCACAUGUACUGGAGCAACUGGAGCAGUCGUAGCUGGUUGGAGAAGCUGUUCCUCCAACUCUGCUCCCUCAAGCUCUUCAAGUUCUGCUUCCAAUUCAUCCUGCCAAUUAUGGAAAGCAUUAACAGGUAAUCAAUAUGCCAAAGAAAGAAAGAAGAGCAAGCGGUUAAGUCAUUUGAAAGAAAAAAAUAAACAGCAAUACCUCAUCAAAAUCAGCAGCAAUUCCGAUAGGCGCCGAUAAUGCUUCCUGUAUUUGUUUCAUGUUCUCUGUUUGUUCAUUUAUUUCAUCCAUUGUCUUGUCAACAUCAUCAAUAUUUCUGCAAAAGAAGAAAAAGGGAAAUAUUAGCAGGUAUCAUUACUCAAACCCAAACUAAAGGAAUCCUCGCAUACAAAAUAAUAAGCUUCUAAUAUAGCCCUGCAAAAUCAUCUGUUUCCACAUAUACUCCUGUAAAACCUGAAUUUUGGAGUAUAUAUGUAGAAAUUCUUCGAAACAGCAGUUUCGUGCAAAAACAAACUGAAGUGGGGGAGACAUCUAAACAAUGGCAAGAAGUUGGUUAGAAGGGUGUAUAAGUAGUUAAUUUUUUGAAGGCCGCAUAUGAAAAUUUAGAUUCAGCAAGGCUUUACUUUGCAAUUAGAUACAUAGGGAUAUAUGUAUGUAAAUAUCUCAAGCAUAUUUAAGAACUAAAAUAUCAAGAAGACCCUGUAAAGAUACAUAAAGACAAAUAAAAACCUUUCCAAAGGGCAUUUAUGAAAAUCAUCGAGUGCAUUUUCAAGGGCAUUUUCAAGAAUUUUCACAUAUAAAUGGGCAUUUAUAGUAUUUCCACUUUUCGAGGGCAUCUAUGGAACACAUGUACUUGGAGUCUUGGAGGGUACAUAUGUAAUUUUGACCAAAAAAUUUCGUAGAGUUUUGACGGGUGCAGCAAAUAAGUAUAAAGUAGACACGACAGCUAAUAAAGACAGCAAGAUGAAUAUCACGUAACUUCAAGACAUUGCCACAAUUCAAAGAACUCGACAAGUUUGAAGUAGCUACUCACGUGGCUUUCUGCAUAGCCUUCAUUGCAGCAGCUCCUGUUCUUAAUGCAUCAACAGUCUCCGUUGUGGUUUUUGCACCUUUCAGCAUUAUCAUCUGUUCCAGAUAAUCAAUGAUAAGUUCUCAUGAAAAAUUAUAGAAGUUAAUGGCAUAAAUGCAGAAGGAAAAUAGUAUGUUUAUUAAUUUCUCUCUGUACCUGAUCAUGAAUUCUUAACUGGAAAUUUCCAAGCUGUUCAAUUUGCUGCUCGUAAAGUCUCUUCCUCUUCAAGCAUUGUAUGGCAGCUAAUAUUCAAAAAUAAAAAAGAUCAGAUAAGUAGUACAUAUAAAAAUGAAAAAACGACUAGUACUACUGCUACUUAUUUUCAAAGUUAAACCACAGGUAAUACAAGUAUGUGAAAGCUACCUUUUUGUAAAAAUUAUAUAGUCAUGGCAAAGUACAUUUAGACAUGUUAUGAACAAUAAUAUAUCCGUUACGCAGGCAAAUGCUACAAGAUUGAAAAAACAAAAUGCAUAGGUUCCUUUACGGAAAAAAAAAGAAAAGAGGGGGAGGCGACUGGCAUACCCCUUUUGUUCUUUGCUCUGGUGAACUCCUUGGCCCUCUCAACCUCAGCAGCUGCUUUCUUCAGGAGGACUUUCUCCUUCUUUUCUAGCAUCUCAAGUGUCUAAAAUACAUUAUAGAAAAGUUAGACAAAUCAUGUAAAUAAUAAUAUACAACUACAGUAUCUACAAACUACAUAUAUUGAAGAAGGUCUCUGUGUUAAUAUAUGUAAACUGCACUCUAUAUGGGCAGAUGGGGAUAGGCUAGUAUAGAAUUUUAUAUUAGGCAAGUCAACCAAAUCCAAACCAAAGUGUCGAACAAGCUUGCGCAGAAUAUCCUACCCAUCAAGGUUGGAAUAGAACAACCAAACUCAAAGAUAUCCAACGACUGGUGGUUUAUCUAUAAUUCGAACCUCCACGUGGUUAUCCCAAAACAGCUUAUAGAUGCAAUCUCCCUUGGACCGUCAACAUGGAAGCUCAAUCCUGGUAAGUGACUCUCUAAGUAGCUUUAAGGCCCAAUAGACCAUGCAAAAGUACGGCUUAUUCUUUUGAAUAAUUGAUAUUGGCUGUAGUGUAAUGUUUUCACGACCAACACAUCUAUAUCGAGAAAGAUAUUUUUAAUACCGAAGUCCGUAUACAUCUAUUCAAGUAACUAGCCACUUUUAAUUUGUUUCUUAUCGUUUAUUCAGCAAUAGACAACUCUGUUCCCAAGGCUUCAUAUUCUGCAGCAUUAUUAAAGAAUGAAACCAUAAGUUUUACACAAUAAGAAUUCUGAUCUCCUUUUGGUGAUUCCAAAAUUAUUCCUACGCCAGUUUCUUCCUCGGAUAUGGAUGAUUCAUCACAGUUGGAAGUCUAUUGCUCAUCGUUUCCUAUUGUCUCUAGAUCAAAGACUUACCCAACAUAAAAAUCACUUUAGGCUUGUUCAUUCCUAUUUAUUCUCAUAAAGUGGUGCUUAUUUUCAUCCAGAAUCAUGAAAGUAAAAGAAGAAAUUCACCAACAUCUUAAAGGGAAGCUAUAAGAAUAAUUUGUUCAUUUGACCCAGGAAAUGAAGGCACAGAAUUUACUUGAAACAAUUCUCAAGCAACUACUUUACAUGAAUAAACCCACGGCAAAUAAAGUUUUCUCUAUUUCAGCAUAUUUAGAAACUCCAGUAGAAAAGCUAAAAAGGAGACGAUUUCUGUAAAUCCAUGAAUGGCGGGAAAAAAUUGUGAAGGCAUAAAAUUUUGGUGAAUAAUAGUAUGGCAUGGGUUACUUCAGCGCCGUAGCGCCUGGUACUUGGACAUCGGCUCGAGGCAUUUUCUCUGAAAUAAUCAACCCCAUCCGCUCACUACGCGAAUAAACCAGUGCCAAGGCAGAUGAUCCAUUAACAAUUACCAGAAAAAGGAACAUCAACAUAUAUUCUUUAUACUAUCAACAUUACAUGGUACUAGUUUCUUGUUUACUAUUCCUGUGCUAUACUUUUCUCCUAGUAUAGUUUGAAAAAGCACAAAAAACAAGUCAAUAACAAGACAAAAGAAACAUUAACAUCGCAUCUACAAUCCAAACCAUGUACUAAUUCAAUUCAUAAACAAAAACUUAAUAUUUCUAAGAACCCUUCCACUUUCUAAUCAAAUAUUGCAAAGUAACUAUCAAUUAUGAAAAGAUGAUGAAAGUAUUAAUGAAAACAAUGAUUAAGAGAUUGAGUAAAACAAAUUGAAUAAGUAAACAAAUACCUCAUUUAACUUGUCCAAAGUGGCCAAGGCAUUAGUUUGCUCCUUUGGCUUCCCAAAAAUCCUACUAAACAUGGCUUAUAGCUUCAAUUAACCCUACUCUGCAUAGAAAAUUAGAUCAAAAUCAAAAUUAACCUAAAUCCCCAAUCCUAACUCAAACCCUAGAUGAAGAACAACAAGGAUACUUCUUAGACAUAGUUACCAAAAACUAAAACUUGGGUCAAUCGAUUCGACGAGGGAAAACACAGAAAAUGGCGAAAAGAAGGGAUUAUGGAGCAGAAAAUCAGCGUUUUAUGAGUAAAAUUGGUGGAAUUAAGGCAUGAAAACGUACCAAUACAAAGGAAUCGAUCGACAAGUCGGAGAUGGGGAUUAGGGUUUGGGAAUUUGGAUGCGAUCUCGUUUUGGAUUCGGGGAUUUGGGGUGGGGGGUGAAGGGUCGAUGGUUGCUUCGUUCGAUCGAAAUUGACCACGUGAGAAAAGGAGACGCAUAUGUGAGGAAAAAGAACACAAAUCUAAAUAAAUAAAUAAAUAAGGUUGGGAGGUUGAGUUUGGUUGGGGUUAUCCUGACCGUCAGAUUACCGAUAAUCAUAUCAGAAUUACUGUAUAUGAUUUAUCCUGUACGUAAUCUAUUCGAUAUUAUAAUAUUAUAAAAGAUAUAAAAUUAUGCCUAAAAUAUUAUUGAUGGGAGGGGGUGUAUUUUGGAUUACUAAAUGCGGUGUUAAUCUUGCAUGUUACAUAAAAUUACAAGUUUAACCCUCCAACUUCUGAACCCUUUCAAUACGUUAUUUCAAAAUUUUUAAUUAAAAAUUUUGAAUUAUUAAAUUUUAAAUUUAGAAUUUCGAAUUUUAACUUUCAAUUGUCAAAUUUAAAUUUUUAAAUUUUAAAUUUAUAUUUAUAUUUAACUUUUAGAUUUUAAAUUUAUAAAUUUCAUAUUUAUAUUUUAAAUUAAAAUAUUAAAUUUUAUAUUUUUGCUCAAAUUUAAAAUUUAAAAUUUAAAAUUUAAAUUAUUUAAAUAAUUAGUAAAAAAAUAAUAUUUGUAACAAUAAAAAAAAUUUGUCAAAUAUGGGUAAGAACAAUUUUGAAAUAGUCUAUAUUUUAUUGUUAAGAUUACUAAAUUUUAUGGACUGAACUAAAUAUAAUAAUAUUAUAAACACUGUAAUUCAACAUUAUAUUAUUGCAUUAAACCAAACAAGCUUACGCAGUAUCAGUAGUAAUCUCAUUUUGAAAUCCAAAACGCCUGGAUAUAUUGAAAUACUUUAUAGUGUUACAUAAUUUGAACCAAACACGCACCGAGCGAGAAAUGUAUCGAACCCCCUCAACUAUACGGAAUUGGAAAUUGGCCCUUAAAACCUUUUCCUUACCACUUUUUAAUUUCAAUUUAAAUUUAUUUUGAACUAAAUUAUUUGAAUUAAAUAAAUUGAGAAUUUUAGUAAUGCUAAUACUUUAAUUAUUAAUAAAAUCACACUUCCUUCGGCUAAGAAAUGGAAAAGAUGUGAAAUUUGAUAAAUCAACGAACUAACUAUAAAUUUCUAUUUCAAACAAUUAAAUGACAGUCUCAUUAUUAUACCAUAAACAUAAACAAUAAUUACCAAACCCCAAAACACUAUUUUUAAACCUUAAUCUUUAUUAUCAUGUCCUAAAUCUUAAACUCUAAUCUUUCUACGUGUGUAUGGCAACACAUCAACAAUAUAUUUGGAUACUCCAAAGUGGAAGAUCCAUCACAUUUUUCUAUGGCUAAAAUACAUAAAACUCUCAUACCAAAACUCGAUUUUUCACUUUCUCCCUCUGUCAUUUAAAAAUCUACACUUUGUCCCAUUAUAAAAUAAAAAAUAUUCACUUUAUCUCCUGCCGUUUGUAAUCCGUUAAAGUUCCGUUUAUAAAAUAUUAUUAUAUUUUUUUAUGCCAAAAAUGUCUUCAGUCUUCUCUCCUGUGAACAUGAUGAGGGGCAAAAUGGUGAGAGGCAAAAUGAUCAUUUUAUCAUCACAGUUCACAUCAUACCCUUCGUGAACAUUUUUUAUUUUAUAAGGGGACAAAAUGUAGGUUUUUAAAUGACGGGGGGAAGUGAAAUCAAAUUUUGACAGGGAGAUUUUAUGUAAUUUAGCUUUUUUUCUAAUUAAAAUAAUUUUUUUUUGACAAUAUUGUGGCUUAACAUUAAUAGGAUUGUCAACAGAUUGAAUAGGAGCAAGAUGAGCCCAGCUCAAGCUCGAAAAUUAUUAGAUGCCGACUCCUGUUUGGCUUGAGCUCGUGACGACCUUGGAAAAGUGUAAUUGUUCAAGCUAGCUCGCUCCAAUUGUUUACAAUUCAAAUUAAAAAUCUCACAUUUGAUUCAUUUCAAAAAUUAUUAUUAUUAUUAUUAUUUUGCAUAAAAAUUUAGUCUAAAAAAGCUUCUGCAUGGAAUAGAACCCUAAAAUUCUGGGUUAGAUCUUGCUAAUGGUUGUAAUCCUACACAGCAAUGGGGCUCUUUACAAGUUGACAUAUAGGUUGUGCCAAAAUCCAAAUAGUAGAAAUUUAGAUGUACAACUCUCUAUAUAUAAAUAUAAUACCUACAAAGUAUAUCAUUAAAACAUAUAUGCACUUUAGAUAAAUUGAGCCAAACACAUGCGAGUUCGUUUAUUACACAAGCGAUUCAAUCUUAAAAACCUAUUUUUGAGUUGAACACGAGCUGGAUUGUGAACCUACGACAUCAACAAGCACAAAAUUAGCAGAUUAUUUACAUACAACAUCACGACAAUGAAUGAACAAAUUUUUUUAUCUUCAAUAGAUAAGAGGGCAAUGAGAAGUUAAUACAGCCUCUGAGAUUUUUCUCACAACUGCAGAGGCCAAAACACACUCGAUACAAGCAGGAGAAGCUUCCUCUGAAAAAGCAAAAAAACGUAAAAAAAAGAAAGAAAGAAAGAUGAAGAAUCAUAGUAACUGGCGGAGUUGCUGGUUCUCCUUUCUCAGCAUUUGCACUUCUUUCAUCAGCGCGUCCUGCUUCUCCAGGACUGCGGCAAGCAAACUCGACAUCUCCAUCUGUUAAUUACAAAAUAACAAAAGUUAGAACGAGAGAGAGAAAAGAGAGAGAGAGAGAGCAACAAUAGAUGGAAUAGUAAUCGAGCGUUUCCAUGAUACAUAAAAAAUUUAGCUAAGUUCUGUUGGUAACCAACUUAAACAUAGCACUUUUCUAUCAGAAAAUAGAAAAUUUGAACCUAAUAAAAUGCUGCGAAGCUCCUCGGAAAUUGUUCGCUAAUGUGGAUUCACUAAAAUGGGUUUCUGGAGAAGGAUAUAAGAAUGAAACCAUGUGGAGUGUUAAAACAUCCAUGCAUCGGAGAAUGUUUCGGAGGCAUUAGUUUAAAGCAUGCGUUCAUUGAGAAGACGCCGAAGGACAAUUUGAGGUCGUCAGCAGAGCGAGUACGCGUGGAUUGAAGAGCUUCGAGGACAUGAAGAACAGUUACGAAUCAGCCUACCUCCUGCAUGUGGAAUUGUCUUAGCAGCUCGAUGUGGAGAUUCCUCACGUCUUCGUGGAUGGACUUCUGAACGGAUCCCAAAGUUUCUUCGAGAGUGCGCUGGACAAGCUGAAGCGAAAAUGAAGAAGUCGCAUGCUGUUGAUCUGUUGGUGGACUUACGGUUCGUGAUGGUUGAGCUGCGACUCCCUAUGUAAAUACAUAAAACAAACUAGUUUUAAUUCCCUGUGAUGCUCAGCGAGAGAAUAAUAAGAGAGUAAUAUGUCAAUUUUAUUUAUAACAAAACAUAGACACAUGAUAAAAAUUGUUAAAUUUUGAUAAUUCUGAUGUCCACUUCUUGUGAAAAUGUGAGUGGGUUCACUGUUCAUGCUUCGAUAUGUAAAAAUCUAGUCAUUAAAUUGCUCACCAAGGUGCCCCCCGUCGCAGAAGAACUAGCUGCUUCUUGCCUUGAUAACAAGCUAUUCAGAAGCUCUUCUCUAGUUUCUGCUCCUGUUUUCUUCAAUUUCGGUGAACCUAUUGCUGAAGCCAUUCCUUCACUGAAAGCAGAACUGGUGCUUAUUCUCUCAGCAUAAGUCGAAUAUUUCCAUGGCAGAGUCGAUGCCGCUGAUCCUGGUAUCUCAGUAUUAGCUGUUGACGGUCUAGACUUUGUCUCUGAGGUUGUGGAAACUGCGGUUAGGUUGUAAGCCGACAAAGAAUCCAAGAAUGCUGACGAGUUUGUAUUGUUUGAGAGGGGUUUAUUCUGCAGGUUCAUAGAACCAAUGCUAGGGUUAGAUAAAGAGCUCUUUACUGGGUUACUAGUGGAGGAAGAUGAAUCUUGUAAUCCUGCGAACGUGGACCCACUGACUAUUGAUGUCGAAGGCACAAAGCGUGAUAGUGAGGUUUGUUGACGGUGAUGAAUUAGUUUAUCGGGAGUUGGAGAGAGAGAUGACUCAUUUUUUAUCGACAGAACAGGGUUGGAUAAAGACUGCGUGUCAUCCUACAACAAAGAAAAAGAUAAAGAAAUCUUAAUGAUUAACUGUGUUUGAGAGUAAAUUUACAACUCAAAUUAAAUAUUAUUAGGAUAGAAAAAAUGAUUUAACAGGAUCUGAUAGCAUUUUCAAUAGAAGCUAUUUUUUGCUAAGCGCCUGUUUGGCUUGGCUGGAAGUGUUAUUUGAGUGGAGUUGUUGAAAAGAGGCACUAAUAGCAUUUUCAUUAAAAUCUACCCGCCAACUCUCAACCCAAAAAGAAGACAGCUAUCAGGUGCAGUAGAAGCAGGAGCUUGAAAUUGGAGCUUUUGCUUUGGGGCGCACAAGCGCAUGUCAACUUCCUGCCAUAGCAAAAGUUUCAUACUUAAUUUGUUCGCAAUACACUUGGGUGGCUUCCCAAGGGUAAAGCUUUCCUAGAGCUGCACCAAACAGAUGCUAGGCAUAGACAGCAAUAAAAAAAGCGAGCUACAGACUAAACAAAACCUGCUUAGAGUUUGAACUGGAUCUCCAAUCAGAUAUUGGAUGCCCAUCAAUAUUGCCAUCAUUAAAGGCGAAUUUCCUUGUUGAAGUCGAAAACAGUGUAGACUUCUUAUCAGCGAGCGCACUAUCUUUUUUAGCUUCAUCAUGUUCAUCCCACCAAUUACCAAGAGACGGGGUGAUUGGCUGAACAUCAACUAACGGAGAAAAAACAUCCAUAUCAUCCUUUAAAUUAUAACAACCCCGAGGCGCUUGCAGCCUCGAUAAAUUUCCUCCAGUGAGUAAACGGCUUCUAUGUGGAGUUUCUUCAACAGUAGAAAAAUUCGAAGUGUUUGAUACCGAUGCGCCGCUCGUGCUUGCUGUUAAAGAGGAGCGGAAACUAGAUACUGUUGUUGCAGAUGACAAGCUUGAGGAUGAUAAAGAAGGUAAUGGGUCUGGCAUUAGAACUGAUUCUUCGCUGGUGCCUCCAAGAAGAGCAACUUCAGCAGUACAAUUGUUCUCGUUUACAAUGACGGGCUUCGACCUUUGCCAACAUAAGCUUGCAACAGCCUAAAGAAGCAAAGAAUCUUCAUCAAAAAUUCAAUCAAGAGAAUAAUAGUGAUAUAAUAUCAAGUAGAAAAUAGCUCAGUUGUGUAUGACCUUGAGAUAUCAACCCUAAAAGUAUUGGUCAGGUUGAUUCACAUAAUGAUCAUGCACUUAUGCAGUAUGAACUCUUUCAAGUACUAGAAACAAGUAAAUAGAGUGCAAGAGGAAGUCUUGCUUGAUCAUAAUGGCCCCUUAAGAAUAAACCUCAUCCUGUGGUAAAAAUUCUGACUUGACAGCUUUAAAGCGAAAUAACAGAAUUAUGCUAAACAUAGAUAGUGCUUUCAAGUAUACUGCAGCAAAGUGCUAUUUCUUUUGUGAAAAAUAAUUACCAACAAUUACAAGGAAACACAUAUCACUCUUUGAGAAGGCAUCGUAGGUUUCACAAGGUCAAUUGUCGGUAGGGACUUGAAAAGGAGAAAAUAUAUAAUGGUAGCAAUGACAGCCAGAUCUCACAGAGAUAUCAUUAUUGAAACAAGAAUUCGAAGGUGUACUUCUACUACAAAGAGAUAGAGAGAUCCCCAUCUUAUUCGUCCAGUUGCCCUAUCUGAUAGAGAGGUAGAGAGAUCCACGCCAAUUCUAACUCAAAUCUAAAGGGGAUUGUCGAACAGCAGAAUGCUGGUGAGUGCUAUGAUAUAGCAAGCAGUAGGCAGUGCCCACACAAUACAACUAUCAUAGACAGGCAAGUUAUUGCACACCCUUUGUAUUGUAAUCAUUAUAAUUCCGUACCUCAAAUUGCUAAAUCUCAAACAAAUAAUAGGACAGCAACAGAAGCACGAUAUCAUAAGAAAUUGGCAAGAAUGAAUGAAUGAAUAAAGUUGUUAACACAAUGAAAAACAUCAUUCGUUUAAUGGAACAUACUAGAAAAAACCAAUACCUCUGAGCUACUAUAUGCACGAAGAACAGUUAAAGGUUGAGGCUUCCCACGAACAUCAUAGAAUACCACACGCCCACUAUUUGUUCCAGCAGUAAGUAUAUUGCCAUCAUCAUUAUAAACUAAUGAUGAGAAAGGUGCCUCAUAAGGAAUGCAAUGUGUGGACCUUCUCGUCCCGGAAUCAAACAUAUACAACUUUUUGUCAAGGCCAACACUAGCAAUUAUCUACAUAAUACAAAACAAUUUAGUUCAUGCAAAAGAACCCCAAUAUUUUAUCUGUCAAAAGGAAUACUAUCAGAAUUGCAAGACCUUGUCACUGGAGGGUGAGAAGCAAACACCAGUUGUAGGUGCAGAAUGCUGCUUCAGCCAGGAAACCUGUUAACAAUAAUUGUGGUAAGCUAACAGAGUACAAAAAAAAAAAUUAAAUAAUGAAACAUGACACAGCUAAAAUAAUAAAUGAAUUAAGACCACCACAAGAAAAAUGGCCUUCUAUAUUCAUCUAUUAGUGACCUGCAAUCAGACAAUGACAUAAAAGUUCGAUAAAAUCUGACAGGACAAUGCAUUUCAAUAUCACUCGUGGAGAUGCAAUAGAUUUUUAAUCUUAUGGUACAUCAGGACAAAGCGAUAUUGAAACUUUAAAGAUGACACAAGAGUUUUACAAAAAUACAAAGAUAGAGAAAUCAUAAACUUGUAAAAUGCCACUGCAGCAAACAGUUUCAAAGUCAGUAAUUUAAAAUGUUUAAAUGUAUAAAGAUCCAUACCUCUUAUUAAAACUAAAAAAGUGCAGUAGAAAGAAAAAAACACAGCCACUAGCAUCAAUCAACUUUGUCCAACACUCAAUGUUACGAUAUAUUUUAUCUAUAUUAGGAUACUGUGUAUUAUUGCCUUCUAUAGAGUAGAAUUAUAUAGUAUGUAAUCCUAGUUAUACUCUUACUAUAGUAGUCAUUGUUACUAUACUAAGAUAAUCUCUUGUACUAUAUAUAUUCGUUAAUACAACUCAAGAGGAUAUGCUCUUUUGCCUUUCUUACACUCAAUCUCCUAGAGGGGGAAAAGAAAAUCUUAGCAAUGAUUUAAUGAAAGCUGUAGAUUCUGGUAAUAAAAGGAAGAUGUUACAUUGCAUGGCACAAUAAUACGUUACAGCAUAUAAAAAGCAGCAGCUAUUUGUGUUUAGCCAAAAGAGGGGCAAAGCAGAGUUAACUAAAGUAGGACAAGUAAAUAUCUUUGUAUACCUUCGGAGCCCUAGCAGUUGUAUCCCAGAGAUGUAUAGAACCAUCAUCACCUGCUGUCACCAAAACGUGCCGGCUAAGUCGAGAAUAAUCAAGCACUCUUAAAACCUGGCCUUACAGCAUAAAUAGAAUUAAAUUGUCAGACGCUGAAAAUGUGAAACUAGUAGAAAUUUCUGUUCAGGGCAAAAGAUUAUGUAAAUAAAAAAAAAUAUUUUAAAACUAAUCACCUGCCCGUUUGGAUCUUUGAGUUCAGCAGCACGUGCUCCAGAAGCAAGGUUGUGAAGAAUAAGAUCACCUUUUACACUGAUAGAUGCUAAAUGCUCAUCCUUACAAUUAUACAUAACACCAGUAAUUGUAUCAGUGUGACCACUAAGCCAUUUGAUGCAGCGUUUCCUCUGUAAAUCCCAUAUCCUAACGAUAUGGCCACUUCCACCUGAGCAAAGGUACCUGGAACCCUUAUUGCUAAAGCUGACAGCAACUAUAGACUCCUGAAAGUAAGGUAUGUGAGCUUGAAUACUUGCACUAAAAAAGCAUGUGCAUGUAGUGGGCUUAAAUGUUUAUAUUCCCAGCAAGACUACCUCUAUGUCAUCUCCAAGAUCGGAACCUGCAAGAGGUACCACUCCCAUAUUUUGACCUUUUUUAUGCCAGAGAGAAAUCUUCUUAUCAUCUCCAGCACUUGCAACUACCAAAUCUGGAAAAAAAAAAAAUAUAUAUAUAUAUAUAUAUAUAUAUAUGAAAAAGAGGUAUCAUGAGUAAGAACAAAGCAGGAACAAGAUAACAGAUCUUGCCAUCACCGGAUUCAGAAGGUACAGUCAUUAGUGACGUGAUUUAGUGCACUGAUAUUCUCAAGAAGGACAACAUGCUUCAUUGGCACAAGAUUCUUCUAUGUUUUACGAUUUCACUUGAUGGUAUACUGCAGUGAAAGAUACUUUAUGCUAUUUAUGAUUAAUAUAGGGUUGUUAUCAUAAUCCAUGUAUUGCCGACAUAUGCUUAUGUCUCUCAUCAGUCAUCACAAUGAAUUCGGAUCAACCAGCACAACUAAAAGCAGUUUCUAUUCAGUUCUAUCCAUUCAGUGAAAAAAAAUAAGAAAAUCAAUUACAGAUCCAAUUCGAUCAAUUCUUCAAAGUUGAAAUCAGUUCAAGCCCACUAAUGUUUUCCUUAAAAUGCAGUACAAAUGGCCACGACAAGAAAAGAAAUUGGCAUAAAUAUGCUAAUAGAGAGAAAUUAGCUUUAAGAUUCACUUCACUUCCUUUAGCUCCAACCUCCUGUCCUUCUCAUUUUACCAUGCAUUGUCCAGUAAAGAAGAAUUCCGAAGUUCAAACAAGCUCCAAACACUUGGAUUCAAAAACUCGAUGCCACAGAUAGUUAAACCACAAAACAGAUAAAGGCAUGCAAACUUACAUAAACUAUAGCACCUAGAUACAAUAACUUCAGAAGCAUGUGAUUUACUAGUAAGCAAACAGUAUCUCUGAAAUAGGUACUAGAGCUUUAAAUAUUUUGAUUCUAGUACCUAAAUUGAACAAUACUCGUAGCAUUUUUGACACUGUAUUCCAUUAAGUAAGAGAAUACUCUAUGAGACUACAGACCAUUGCACCAAACUUAUUGUGAAUAUUGUAAGGUCACGUAGUAAAGUACAAACUUUCAAGUUUGUGUUCCCUUUUCAAAAAUUAUAUAAGUUUAGAUACUAAAAAAAAGAAAAGAAACUUUCAAAUUCCAUCUGUCUACUUUAAGAUGCAUUAUAGUUCAAAUAAUUUAUGUGGGUGUUCGCCGAAAAUAAGAGAAAGUCGAGCAUUUAACCCAGAAAAAUCAAAAUUUUCAGUAAAUAACAAGCACGAAAAAUCCUAAUAAGAGCAACAAAGAGGGAAACAAAAACAUUACUUGUAUGAUUCCACUUCACCGAGUUCACUUGGGAUCCAGGGGAUGGGGAGUAGCUGAGCACGCACGGAUCGCCCGAGUCCACCGUAACAUCAAACAGCUUCACGGUGUCGCCGCCGCAGGUGGCGAGAAGCGGAGACAUCGGAUCCACGAACCCCAUGCUCUCGCAUCAAAAGACAAAAAAAACCCUAGAAAUAGGAGAAAUGUAGCUCGAAUUCAAAAAUAAACUACAAAAAUCCACCAAAUUCUCUUAGAAAUCACUCCAAAAUAGUAAAAAAUUGACGUGGUGAUAACUUUUAAGCAAUCGAUACGAGGUUUAACAACAGGAAGAAGACGAUUCAAAUUAUCAAAAAAUAAAGAAAAAAAACCUCUUCUAAGUCUCUCCAAAAUCGGGAAAAAAUUGACACGGUGAUGCACUUUAAGCGAUCGAAUACGGGAUUAGCAACAGGAAGAAGACGAUUCAAACUUCGCAAAAAUAAAGAAAAAUUCGCCAAAUCUCUUCGAAAUCACUACAAAAUGGGGCGUAAUCGAGGUGACGAUACCUUUAUUGGGAUCGAUCGGAGGUUCGCUUUUAGGGUUUUGGGUGGAGGGUUAGGGUUUUGGUACGUCGCCUGUUGUGUGGGAUCUGAGCGAGUGAGAACGAAGGGGGAGCUCGAUCGUGGCCGGUACAGGAGAGAGCAAAUGCCCUUUGUGGAUUCUUACAACAAGGUCCUCCAACUUUUGACUUUUUGUAUUAAUGGGCCCUUCAGGUUGGGAUAAUUUAAUAUUUAUCACUAUAAAUAUUAAAAUUACAGAUUUAUCCCUACAAAUUUUUAAUUAUCAAAUAUGUUUUAAAAGUUUUAAAAAAAAUGCAAAUAUGUUCCUACCAGUUGACUAUUGUUAUUUGAUUAUUAAAUUUUGACCAUUUGAAUCAUUAUACUGUUGUAAAAAUUAUUAUUUUAAAAUAUUUAUAAAACUUAUAACUUGUAGUUCAUGUAGAAUGACAUAAAAGUUAGAAUUAAAAUAUAUAAAAUUAAUAAAUAAUUUAAAUAUAAGAAAUAAAUAUACAAAUUAAAACUUUGUAGAAAUAAAUAUAUAAUUUUGUCACUUUGUAGGAAUAUAUAUAUAUAUAUAUAUAUAUAUAUAUAUAUAUAUAUAUAUAUGCAAUUAAUCUUUUGAAUUUGUUACGGUAGAUCCUUCCAUACUAUAUUAAAAAAAAUUUAAAAUUGCACCCUAUUAGGUAGUGCUAAAUUAUAAAUUUAUCGUUAAUUUUUUUGAAUUAUUAUAUAUUGAAAUAGCCUAUAUCUUUUAUAUAAGUAGGCCAAUUUGCAUAAAAAAUUCACUUAUUUUGGGCUUUUGCAAAAUCGGGCCAUUUUUUUGGUUUUUGCAGAUUCGGUCCGCUUUUUCAGCAAACUGACCAAAAUAUCCUUAUACCUUUUUCUCUUUCCUCUUUCUCUCUCCUCUUUUUUUUCUCUCGUUCUUUUUUCUUUUUCUUCCCAGAGAGCGGCGAAGACGGAGCGGAGGUGCCCUUAUAUCUUUUCUUUUCUCUUUUUUCUCUCGUUCUUUUUUUUCUUUCUCUUCCCAGAGAGCGGCGAAGACAGAGCGAUGUCGCCGCCGGCGCCCCCACCUUCCUCGCCUCCGAUCCCCCCAAGGCCGGGCUGUGACUUUUUUUUUUUGCAUUUUUCUUUUCUUUUCUUCUCUGACUCUCCUCCACAGUUUCCGACGACGGCGCCUCUCUCGCUCUUCCCUGCCCUUCCCGUCUCUCCUUCUCCCUCCUUCUCUGCUGCCUCCGACGACGAUGCAUCUUCGCCGACACCGACGCCGACACCGUGGAGAUCACUGCGGCGCUGCAGCCUCGGAGUGGGGGGUCUUUAGCGGCGUCGUCACCGACACCGUGGCUAUUGACAGAGAGGGUGACAAAAAAAAAAAAAAAAAAAAAAUAAAGAUAAAAAAUUAUAUAAAAAAAAGGAUGAAGAUGAAAUUGUAUCGUUAACUACAAAAAAAUUACAAGUUGCACUACUUAAGAUGUAAACUGCAGCUUUAAAAUAAAAAUUACACUUUUUAAAUGAAAAUUACACUCUUUGAAAGAUAUUUACACUGUUUCUCUUCUUAUUGCACUCUUUUAGAUAUAAACUGCACCCACUAAGAUAAAAAUUACACUCUUUAAAUGAAAGUUAUACUGUUUCUCCUCUUGUUGCACCGUUUCUCCUAUUGUUGCACCAUUUCUCCUCUUGUUAUACUUUUUUUAUUUUAAACUACACAUCUUUAACAGAUAUUUAUACUGCUUUUCCUCUUGUUGCACUGUUUCUCCUCUUUAGGAGAAGCAGUAUAAAUAUCUGUUAAAGAUGUGUAGUUUAAAAUAAAAAAUAGUAUGUACAAGAGGAAGAAAUUGUGAACAGAGAAAUGGCUGCAACAAGAAAAAACUGCACCCAUUUAUCUUAAACUGAACCAUUUAGUAUUUAUACUGCUUCGUCCUCUCUGCUUGCACCUGUUUCUCCUCUUGUUGCAUGUUUUCCUCUUUUAAAGAGGGAGAAAAAACCAAGUUGCACAAGAGGAGGAAACAGUGCCACAAGAGGAGAAGCAGUUAAAAAUAUCUGUUAAGAGGUGCAGUCUUAAUAUAAAAAACAGUCCGACCCCGUUCGCCGCGGCCGCUGCGCUGCGGCGACGGAUGGGCUGGGGCCGCGUGCGGACGCGGCGUCUGACGUCGUGUGGAGAAGCAGAAGGGCGCUGUGUCGGCUCGGUUCUGCGCGGCGGCGGGAGGAGAGGCGACGCCGACGAGAGAAGAACUACGCCGCGGCGCUUGGUGCCGGUGCGGUUUGCGCUUCCGCGUCCCCCUCCUGCGCCUGCCGCAUCGACUCCUUUCUUUUUUCGCCGGUUGUCUUCAUCUCGCUCCAGCCCACCGGUUCACGCGGGUGUGUGCCGCGCGGCGACUGUGGAUCGGGCUUGGGGUACGCCGCGGCGGCGGAGGAGAAGGAGGACCGGUCAGGGGCGGGUAGAGAGUGAGAGUUGGAGUGAGGGAGCGACGGAGUGAAGAAGAGUGUUGAGGAGGGAGGCGACGGUGAAGAAGAAGGCGACGGUCGCUUUUUUUUUUGGCGAGAAAAAAAAAAAAGAACGACAGAAACGAAGAGGAGAGAGAAAGAGGAAAGAGAAAAAGUAAUAAGGGUAUUUUGGUCAGUUUGCUGAAAAAGCGGACCAAAUCUGCAAAAACGAAAAAUGUGACCCGGUUUUGCAAAAGCCCAAAAUAUGUGGAUUUUUUAUGCAAAAAGGCCAUAUAAGUAAGCUAUAGUUUAGUACAUUCUACAUAGUAUUAUUUAGAAUUAUUUUUAAUUAUAAUUUCUUUUUACUAAUAUUGAAAACUCUUACGAUAUUAUAUAACUGUCUAUUAACUGUGCAUCAUUAUUAAGUCAAAUUUAUCAGAUAGUAAAAUUUAAUCGCAAUGAUUUAAAAUUUUGAAAAAAAUUGUGAUAAAUUAAAAUUUAAUAACUGAAAUGUUACUUGCUUUGUAAUAAUAUUGGUGCAAGUUUGUAAAUUAUAAAUAAAAUACGGGUGCUUUCCGUAAAUUGUGCAUAGUCCACAUUUUUGCCCUUCGUAUCGCCUCGAAUUGAAAACCUAUUUUCCCUUUUCCCUCCAAAACCCACCGUGCACAGCACCUUCGACCAUUUCUCACGAACCCUAACCCUAGAUCUCCCUCCUCGGCGAAACCCUAACCCUAACACAAACCCUAAACACUCGUCACUCCGCCCAUCCAUGGACAACCGGGAGGGGAGGGAGCACCGGAGCGCGGGGGAGCUCGACGACGAGACGAUCGCGCGGAGGCGGUCGCGGCGCGUCAGCUUCGCGGAGACCACCGCGGUCCACGUCUUCGACCGUGAGGACGACCUCGAGACCCCGCCGGAGUCGCGCGGCGGCGGCGCCGCCUCCGCCCCCGCCGCGGGGGUCCACGUGGACCAAUGCGACAGCGACGACUCGAGGGGUUCGGCGCGCGAGGAAGAGGAGGAGGGGGAGGAGGAAGAUGAUGGGGAAGAAGAUGAUGUGGAGCCGGUUAGGUUUAUAAGAGACAUGGAUUUGUUGUCUCCGGGAAGCGCUGUCGGUUCCGUUACCUCAAACGAUGGUAUUGUCCUUAAAAACUAGAGCUUUCCUAUUGCUUUGAAUGUUGUUGUAUAAGUAUCGAGAUGUGAAUUUGCCUUCUCUUAUAAGAUUUGGUAGGACAAGUUAAUACAAGAGAGUCGCGAAGCUGAAGCUAACAUGAGUAGAGCUGAGGGUAAGAGACAAGUGAUUGAAGCGAAUCUAGCUCUCAGACGAGCUAGGACACGAGUAGAGGCUGCCAAUGCUAUUUCCUACUAGUCAAUACAUCAAAAUAAUCAAAAGAAGUUUUUUAGAAGUUCUUUAUUAUACACCACAUUUAGAUUCUGCCAAUUGAAGACAAUCAAGUAUAAUCUGAUACAACGAAAAAGGGAAGAUGAGUAGAAAAACUUAUUAGAUACCAUUGCAUUGACUCCGGUAUCUCAGGGAGUCACCCAUCCUAGAACUACUCCCGUUCUAGCACGCUUAACUCUCUUAACCUUUUGGGUCUAACCAUCACUCAAAAUGCUUAAACUGGGUUAAGAGUUUUAGCUCUAUUAUAUCUUAUAUAUAGGACUAUCUGGGGGUCUCACAUUCUCUCCCCUUUUAAGCCCUGACGUCCUCGUCAGGCUCAGAUUCAUAAGUAUCAGGCGAUGUGAGACUCGUUUCGCUUGCCUUGUCAUUUCGACCCUGGCUCAACUAAGACUCAUCUCAUACUUCUGACUGGUAAUUGGCUCUGAUACCAACAGUGAUGCCCCGACUUUCUAGAGAGUCACCCAUCCUAGGACUACUCCUGUCCUAGCGCACUUAACUUUUUUAACCUUUUGGGCCUAGCCACCAGCUAAAAUGCUUAAGUCGGGUUAAGAAUUUUAGCCCUAUUAUAUUUAUAUAUAGGACUAUUUGGGGUCUCACCGAAGCAUUGUUGGGGGAGAGGGAGGGUUUAUGAUUCUCAUCCUGUUGGGAUGGGAUCAUUGAGCCCCACCCGAGAGAUUGGAACUGAAUGGAAUUGAAUUCAAAAGAUUUCGUUGAAUCCCGUUUGCGAUCUCUGGUGCAUCCAAGUUGUUAAACCCUUCCUCUUCCCCAACAUUGUUCUAUAAUCUUAUCAUGUUCAAUCCAAUCCUGGCCCCAAAAACGCCACAUUUUUUUCCCAUCAAUAAUUUACAAUUGCCUAUAAAUUUACUUUGCAAUUUGUUACUCCUUCCGGCUCCCAUAUUUCCAAUUUAACUAGGUUGUAGUUCUUUUUGAUGUUUCCUUGAUUAAAUCUUUGUGAUAUAUUUUGCCAUGCACUUUUGUUAAUCUCUCCAUUUUAUAUUAAUAAUAGUGAUUAAUGAAUUCCAAUUCAUCUAGAUGCACUUACUGGAUUCAUUUUGACUCUCCCUUUGUCCUAUUGCUUUUUAUUUGGUUAGAUGAAAACUUUUUCGGCCCUGUGUCAACAAGCUUUAUUAGAUCAGGGCGUCCUUCUGACUCUGGAAUGUCGGAGGAUAGCAAUCACGAUAUCACGUUGGAUUCCACAGCCUUCUCUUUGCAUUUCCGCAGUAUUGCUCCGCCAGAUGACCGUUCUGCCAACUCAGCAGGCAGCCUUCGAACACCUACGACAGAUACAGUGCCUACUAGCUCCAGAAAUCUUGGAGAACCAGCUGGAUUUAAGAAGAUAUUUGCCAAUUCCAAGCUUUCCGAUGGAAAGGCGAGUGCUAAUAGAGAUGGUUUUAGUGAUAUGAGCUUAGUUGCAGAUAAUCCAAGCCGGUAUGAUUAUGGCAGACUCUCUCCUACAUUAGAAGCUCUGCUUAAUGAAGUGAACCAGACUAUGAUGUCAAGUCCAUCAAAAAAUGAACUUGGUAUUGAUGCUUCUGAUCAUCACAUUGAUGAGUUUGUUCAUGGAAAAGGCUAUGUUAAGGGUGAUCAUCAUCUUGAUGUGCAUAUUUCCAUGGGCACUCGAAUGACUACUGCUGCUGAUCAAAUUGAUAAUGACAAGCACCUUUCUGUGAGGGAAGCACAAUCCCCUGUCAGUAAAUCAGUUGUUAAAAAAUCUCAGGUAAUGAAUUCAUUCAUUUUAGUUUGGUGCAAUUUAGUCUUACAUUCAUAGUUUCUAGAAAUCCCUUCAGCCUUUCAGAUAUUAACACUAUGCUUGAUGACUAGGACAUUGAAAUUUUGUUAUUUUAUGGGAACUGCGAUUUAUGUAUCUUUUCCAAAUCAGAAUGUUUUUUGUUCUCAUCAUGGGGUUUGCUUUGGUUUUUAAGCUGAAAACAGUAUGCCUUGUUGAGCAAUCUAUUUGCGUGGAACCACCAUUAAGUUAUCUUGUAUAGGAUUUUCGGUCUUUGAAUUGAUUCCUAAAGUAGAGAGCAGUUUUAAAAAUAGCGCUACAUUUCAUGCAGUAAUACCAUAUAUCUAAGAUGUCUUGGAAUUUGGCUUUCAUUUUUUUUCAUUAAAGUAUUGACUGGAGAAAAAAUUUGGAACAAUAAGCAACUGCUGCAAUUUCAUUUAAGUCAUAUGUGUCAUAUGGCGGAGUGUACCAAGUAUCAUGCCUUAUGUUGCUAUCUUUAUCUUAAGGCAUGCUUACUCAUGUUUUCUUCCAAUGCAAUUUCAUACUUAUCUCUAAUUAAUUCUUCCAAAAUCAGAUCAUAUUUUGCUGGUUUAAGUCUAUAGUCCAAAUAAUAAUCUUGAUAAAUGGUGGCUUAAUAAUUGAUCUGGAACAUCUUGAAUCGCUUCACUUGUAGGAUUACUUCAAAGAUGUUCGUGAGGCGAUUCCAUCUGAAACAGCUACAUCCACUGCUGAAAAUGCUGUGGUUCCCUCACCCCCAUAUAGAGCAUUUCGAAGCAAAGUUACGUCACAAUCUAACGACUUGCACCAAUCAGCUUUUGAAGAUCAGCAAUCUGGAAGCCAGUACAAUACUUAUUCUUCCCCUCAGUCUGCAGUUCCUGCGCUGGUGCUGAAAGAUGGCCAACAAAUAGUAGAAGCUGAGAAUGGAAUGCGAACCCCAAAAGACAUUAUUCAAGCCUUUCAGUCUCCUUUUAAAGGAUCUGUAUCAUCUUUACGUGCUAAGAGGGAACAGCUCUUUGUUGACUCUGUUGCUCUUUCGCGAAGCCCGAUCCGUUCCUUUUCAUUGAAGACUGAGCUUCUAAGGCAUGAUGAGAGAAUUUCAGCAAUAAAGGAUCGCAUGUCAAAGCGUAGAAUGCCUGGAACACCUAUAAAUGGCAAUUCUAAAUUAAUGCUGAUUGAGAAGAGUCCUGUGCGAUUGGAACGUGAAUACAUUUCAGAAAAGAUGGCAGCUGGUCAUGUAAAUCUUAUUGCCGAGGACCCCAGGCAACUUGAUCUUGCAGUUAUUUCUGAACAGAAUGUGAUCAAUUCUGUUCAAAAGAAUAAGUCAAAGGAUAACCUUGUGAAAUUAGAUACCCCAAGCGAAGCUAGAGAACACAUAUAUAAUAAGAAUAAUGAAAUUGUUGAUAAUGCUGUAGACUUGCCUAAAGCCAAUUUUACCUCUCAUCUAUGUGCCUCCCCUACAAACAUCAAGGGAAGUCCAUUGACUUCUCAUACUCUUAUAGAGAGGCCCUCUACCCCAAAGGCACGUAGUCCUUCUGUAAGACGAGUUAUUUUUCAGCAAAGCAAAACUAGUCAAGCUCCUGACAUGUUGCACAAGGUCUCUGAUCAAGAUAUUCAAUCUCUUCAAGAAUCAACUUCUCCUAAAGAUUUUGAUUUAGUUGGAAGGAAAAGACGACUAGAGCUGAAGACUGGUGCCAAAGAAGAUCGAGCCGGUAAAAUAAUCAGGAGAGAGGAAAGUCCAACAUUCUCUCCUAAUCAUAGGGUUUCUCCAAGACGAGUCGAGUAUGAUAAUGAAGUUCAAAUUGAAGGCCCGUCAACGCAGAAGGAUUGGGCUAACGUAUGGAUUUACGAACGUAACUUGUGUGAUAAAGACAUUCAUAUGUAUCACACCUGUUGCUUUUUCAGGAAUUUUGUGUCUUUUAUGUUUUCUGUGGGUUGAAGUUUAAAAGCUGGUAAGACUGAAAUUUGGUAAUUUCUUGCAGAUAUUCUCUGAUGUCCUUGAAGCAACAAAAGUAGUAUUUUCAGCAUCCAUCAGUGUACUUAAUUUGAAAGAGGUAUAGUCCCUGACAUUUAAAACAUUCAUUGGUUUCAUAGCUAAUGUUGAUAACAGAUUGUACAAAAGAUGACAGUGAGGAAGUUAUGUUAUUCCAACAACAGAUUUGUUGUGAUAUUCUCCUGUUUCAUUUUUGAAGUCUUCCACCUUAUGAUACUUGCUAUGUUGUGUCUUUAAGUUAGAAGUAAAAAAAUUCCAGAGAGCAAAAUUUUUUCCUUCGCCUAGACUACAUGUCUAUUUAGAGUUACACUUGGAGUACUCAAGCAUAAUUUUCUUACAUCAGGUAAAUUACUUUAAGCUGACCUGAUAUUAUUUUAAUAUUGUUGGAUUACUUGGAUGAUGAUAAUCUAAUAUAUGGUGCAUGCCAAUUUUAAACGAGUAAUUUGCUUGCUUCAGUGCCAAUUUUAAACGAGUAAUUUGCUUGCUUCAGAAUGUGGAAGAUGGAGCUCUCUGCCAACUGACAAUAAUCUGACUCAUUUUAGUUGGUUUUGGGGUUCUUAAUUUCCACAUAAAAUAUUCCCAAAGCAAGUGUUCUGUUGAAAAAACUUUAAUACUGUUUGAGCUUAAUAACUGACCACCUUAGAAAAUUUAUUUUUGGGAGUUCUUCAGAUAAAUUAUGUGCAUAACAAAAAUUAAGAGAAAUGCACCUUCUUGUAGUAAUUUUACUUGCCAUUUCUUCCCUUGUCCUAUGAGCCAUACAGCAAAUACGAACCAAACAGCAAAGAAAUAAAGCAAUUUUUAUUUUCAAGGAAGCAAAAGAUGACAAACAUUUCCUUGAAUUGGUUGUCCUGUGAAUAUUCCUUUGAAUUGUCUUUCUUGCAACCUAGCAGUUUUCCAUGGCUCUAAUUGGAAAUUUGAUAACUUUCCAUCAGAUGGCUUUUUUUUUUUAUUUAAGUAAUUUUCAAAUUAGUUCAAUGAAUAGAUAUUGCUAAAUUUUGGUGAACCUUUUUAAUUUGAUGAGCUAAACGUAAGGGCUUGAUGUUUUUCUUCUUCAUAUUGAAGCUUGAUAAUUUAGAAGACUUGUUGGGUGAGCUGCAGAGGGCGAUAAAAUAUGAUAGGCUUUCUACUUCCCUGGUAUGUUAUGAGGUUUUCAUAUUAAUGUCAUAUUUUUCGGAAAGCUUAGCUGCUCAUUAUUGUUUGAUAAUUUUGUUGUUGAGUGCUACUUAAGUGUCAUGGUACUAACUGUUGUCCGCUAAUCAGGAACAAUUCUUUGUUAUUCCAGAGAAAUCAUGAUCGGCUGGGUGAUCAACAACCGCAGAGGUAUAUUAAGCUUUUGAAGAGGGUAUCUUUCGUUUAUCCCUAGCUUGGAGUGUGAGUUGAUAAGAAGUGUGGAAAAUGACUAUAUUAUUGCUGUGCAGAGUAGUAGAAGCAAGAUUAUUGCAAGUUAAGCUUUUAUACGAGCAAGCAAAAUUGCAGCUAAAUCGCUUGAAGCUAGAUAGAUUACGCGUAAGCUCUUAUAUCCUCUUUCCCCCUUUGUCAAUGGAUUUAAGGUUCUUGCUUUUGUAAAUUCGACAUUCUUUCUUUUGAUUGCAGAAUAAAGCGCAACUAAUUCAAUUUGGAGUACAAGAAUGCUCUACUCUGAAAUGGAAGAUUUCACAGCUCUCUCUUCCAAGCACAAAAUCUACAGAAACAACAAAUAACCAUUGUUACUCAAUUUCAUGCACUUCUAGUAGUAAAAAUCAGGUGGAUGCGUCUUUUGUCCUUGUGUUUACACAAUUAUUUUCUGGAAAGUUAUAUAGCUUGGAUGGUUUUUGUAAAUCAGUCUUUGCCUUCUUCAACUUGGAUGGUUUUUGUAAAUCAGUCUUUGCCUUCUUCAACUUGCGACACUUCACAUUUAUGUUGGAAUUCCUCAAAACAUGUUUGGUUUUCUACCGCCUUACUUACCAUAUAUACAUGGUGAAACUGCAUGUAGACAUAGCUUACUAGUUUAAACUGCAUGCAGGCAUAUCUCCAACAUUUUCUUUUACUUUAAUGGUGAAAGUAAACAACAGUGUACUAGUCUGUUGCUUAAUAUGCCUUAUUUCUUUCAUUUCUUAUUAACAGUAUGCUAUUCCUUUUCUUUUUUAUACAUUUUUCUUAUGCAUGCUAGUAUGUUUAGUCAGAUUAUAGGACCUCACAACGAACUUGUUCGAGGAUUCUUUGCCUUUUAGCUUAUGCAGACCUUCUUCUCUUCCUUUUUUCUUCUGUGGACUGGAUUUGUUAAACUUGUAUCUGAUGAUGCUUUUCCAGGAGGAACUUGACAGAGUAACACUGAUGAGGCACGAAAAGAAAGUGCUAGAACAAAAAACGGAGCUGUUAACGAAGUCCCUUGAAGUUUUUUGUAAGAUUAAAGAGAGCCUUAGUUGCGAUAGGGUAAUUAAAGUUGCCACAGAGAAUUUGAGGAUGAGAAAUUGUUGUAGAAGAAUCCACCAAGAUUUGCAGGUAAACCUUAUGAAUUUCACCAACUUGAUUUGACAUGCUAUCUUUCAAUUAAUUAUGUUUCUAACAGAUAUUUGGUUCAUCUAGUUAUGGAAGUUGAGUGACAUAGUAAGAACGCAAGAUCAACGGGAGAUUGUUCUCAAUUAUUGCAAUUUUCUCUUUCUAAGGUGAUUAUUUCUGGUGCCGUUUCUACAUCGUGGGUACAGUUGAGAAAAUAUUCUAACUUCCUCUCUUGUAAUACCUGAUAGGUUUACUAUAAGAACAGGAGGAGUUUCAAAUAUUGUCUGCGCCAACAUUGUGUUGAAUGAAGGCAUAGUGGAAAAGGUUGUUAAUCUAUGAUUAUCUUGUUGGCUCUCCAGCCUAGUAUUAUUGAAUCUUUUUAAAUAUCAUGUUUUCUUCUGAUAUAAUGGUAACGUUGUCCAGACUUACCCAAACAUGAAUGCAAGUAAGGCUGUUGAAUUUGUAUUCAGAGGCAGGCAUGAGCAAAGAGUUGACAGCUCAAAAUGUCUUCCUACGAAGACACUGGUGCGUAAUGUUUUAAUCAUUAGGUCUUAUUUGAGUUUUUCACAAGUUCAUCAACUAUUAUUACUCGGAGACUUCCCAUUCUUUCUUGUAGAACUAAAAGUUGAUCAGAUGUAAUUAUGUCCUAACUUCCAAUGUCUCCCAUUUUUCUGUAAUUAACUUUCUUUUGGCAGCUAUUAUUGUUAAUCACAAAACGCUUUAACUUAUGUUUCUGGUUUCAUGAAGAAUUGGUUUCAUAUGAAUUUUAAUUUAAGUUAGAUCCUCGAUGUACUACUACCGAGUUUCUGAUUUCACUUGUAUAGUCUCAUUUUUAGUCUCACGCUCCCAUUUGACUUCACGUGUCUCAUGAUAAAUGAAAUGCUUAAGUGGGUCGGCCAUUGUUGCAGGAAAUCAGCAUGCUUUUGGGUAACGUAGUCAAUGUGCUCGAGGAAGUGCAAACUGCCAGAAUGGAGUUGUUAAAUCUAGCCUGCUCAACCUUCGAAUUUCAACCUGGGAAUACAUGUCUGUUUUCUAACCCUUUCCAUUUAUUCUCUUGCACUUCAAAAAUGUCUUUUAGUUUUAUUAUCGUCGUCAAGGAAGAACAUAUCACAUCGUUUUUCUCCCGCAUGGAAGGAUACAAAAUAAAAGUUGAUAUCUGUUGGGAAACACUGUUAAUCAAAUUAACUGACAGCACCUUGACAAGAAAUUCAUAGAAAAUAUCAACAACUUGCGUAUAUCAUGCACUAAGAUGAUUUUACUAAACAGAUAAUAAGAAAGUGGUAAGCACCUAUAACUACUAUGAGGCAGCCGCAUCAAAAGUGAGUACUCUGUUGCUUUUCAAUUGUUGGUUGAAUUUAUCAUUAUAAAUGGAAAUCAAUAUGUUAUAAUCAGUACAGGACAUAUGGUAUAUGAUGUCCCAAUAGUCUCAUGUUGGAUGGAAAAAAUUAUGUGUAUGUAUAUAAGGGCUAAGCAUUCUCGUAGAAAUAAUUUGGACUUGUGCAUUAUGGGUUGAUGGUUUGGGCAUAACAAGUUGUUAAUACUAUCGGGCUGGAUCGUUAUAUUUGGUAUUAAAGCCAAAUUACUAGCCGAAAGUGUGGACAUGUCUCAUAUCCUUGGUGAUUAUGGAAUAUGUGUGUGAUUGGGCAUAAGAAGGACGUUAGGCCUUAAUAGGGUGAGUUAAUAAUUCCUCGAUAGCCCUAUAGUGGAUGGUAAAAGUACUAUGCGUGUGUAAUGUGUAUAUAAGGGCUAAACUCUCUAGUAUAUGAUAACUUGGAUUUAGCAAAGUUGGGCUGGUGGUUUGGAUGCAACAAGUUGCCAGUAAUAGUGGGCUGAGCUGUUACAUAGUAAUUUCUGGCUUGAUCUAGAUCUCGAAUUUACUAUUCAUUUAUAUGGCAUCAGUCUAGUUUCAUGACAAAUAAAACAUAUUAGAUAUUCGAUGCCCCAAAAAUGUCCCAAGACUUCAAAAAUAUAUGUUUCUGGGACUUCCAGAGAAUUAUUAUUUAAAAUUAAGACAUAAUAAACUACAUCAAUUUAACGCCAUUUGCAUGCUAACAUUGUGUGGUUCCAUUCUUUCCAGUGGGAAGACUCGAGCUAUUGCUUUGUUUCAUGGACUUGAGGAGUGGUCGGAAGCUAACCUUGGCCCUCGACAUGACGGACUUAAACAGGUGAGGCAAAUCCUAGAAACGAAGGAAUAAUGCAGGGAAGUCUGGUAGAAUAUCUGUGAUUUUCACUUCGACCCCUAAAAUUUUUUAGCCUACAUCUUGCCUCCCCUAGUUUAAAUACCUAUAUGUUACUGCAGUAAAUUACAAAAUAUCAUUUCUUUGCCUCCUCAACCAGUUUUCCGUUCGGUGGUAUCUCUCACUUUGCUUACAUGUCACUGGGUUUGCUUAUAGGCUUUCUAAUAUCCGCAGGGGAAUGUGAAAAUUGUGAACCUUAAAUGAACUUUCUAUAGAUGCGUAUAAUGAUGUCACUCGUAAUAACACACUGUUUAUAUGAACAGCGCAACAUACCCAUCUGAGCCAUCAGAGUUACAGAUUGAGAUUCGCAGAUCUCAGACGACACAACCGCCAAAAGUAUUGGAUGAGAUAUUGGCAGCUGUAAAGAAUCUUCAAAGCGGACGUCCGGUGAUCCUAAAGCUUUGCCGUUUGAUAUCCAAUCUUGUUCGCUCUUCAUCGAACUGACUAGUGGUGAUCCAGCGUAUGUUGGGUAGUGUACUGCUGUUGUUGUAGUUCAUGCAGUUUGUAGCCGGCUUUUUAACUGCUGGAGUUCUUGAAUCUUGUUCGAAUUUUUUGGUGCCGGUAAAUGUUGUAAUGCUGAUUGUGAAACUGCAGUUUAGAGUGUCUAAUCCCAGAAGAUGCAUUAGGAUGGCACUCUGAUCUGGAGAUGGUCUGCCAAAUCUAAAUUUUGUAAAAUAUUUUUAGGGUAAAUCUCACUUUUGGUGAUAUUUUGGUCCUCAAAUUUUAAUUUGUUGCAGUUUUUGGCUCGAAUAUUUUGAAUUGUUACAAUUAAAUCUCAUAACCUAACUUAGUUUGUUAAUAUUGAUAAACUAAGGAAGCUAUCCGUGCAUUGCAGCGGGCUGAUGUUAUAGAAGACAGAAGAUUCACAAAGUAAAAAUUUUAAUUUUUUUGAAUUGUCGUAAGGCAUUAAUAAAUAAAGAUAAUAUUUAUUAAUAUAUAUAUAAAUAGAAUAGAUGAAAUAGAUAUACGUACAGAUGUAACAAAACUUAUAAUUUUAGUAAAUAAAUUAUAAAAAAUAGUAAUGAAAGAAGCAGUAAUAGAGUUAUUAGUUAUUACUCUAUAUGCAUUUUGAUCGCACUGUCGAUGGCGGGGAGAUGAAUUCCCAUCUCCACAUCAUCUUUGCCGCCAAUGUCAAUGUCGAGCUUUUUUUCGUCAUAGUCAUGCUGAUUCCGUGCAAAUCUCUCCAAAUCUACCACUUUUUUCCCCUCAUUGACUCCAAAUCUAUUUCUAUUUUUCUUUCGAUGUCGUGCCGUAAUCUGUAGAACCCUAAUUUCAAUCCAUAUACAAUUUAAAAACAGGAAGAGAAAAAAAUUUUAAAAAUUAUAAAAUAUGAACCUUUCUUAUGCGCCAAAAAAAAAAGAAAAAAUAAUACAAAGAAAUCUUAGUUUACUUAUUUUUUCUUAUGAAAGCAAUUUGUUUAUAUGAAAUUAGACCGUGUGACCACAUUAAUUGAGAUGUAAGCGGGUGAGAAGACGAAGUAUCAUGUAGAAAUGGGAUGAGAAAACGAAACAUCAAAAAGUGAGAAAAGAGGAGAAAAUAAGGAUUAAGCAGGAACUGCCACGUGGCACAUUUUAUAAGAAAUAAUGUAUAAAUAAAUAAAAAUAAAUAAAUAGAUAGAUAGAUGUAAAAGAUAUAGAUUAUUGACGCAUACUAGAUUUGAAAGUAUUAUGAUUGAAGAUCCGAUAUUAAUUAAAAUGUUAUAUCAUUUCUACGUAAAUAAUAUGUCAAUAUUUUCAUGUAUGUUUAGCUUCCUGCGGAUCUUAUUCAAGCAGCAAAGUGGAUUUUGCAGCUUAUUGUGCACAGUGAUAUCAAUGUAUCAGAGAGCUAUGUUGAACUUUUUUUUUUUUUUAAUCCGUUAAUGCUCAAAACGAAAUUAUCAUAAGCUAAUGCAUUUUUUGCGAUGAUUUUUUUUUUUUUAUAGGUUGAGAGUUCGACCGCCACGUGUAUGUCAAUAUACCAACCUCUACAUGAGCAAUAAAAAAAAUCUCAAAUGCCUUAAAAAAAAGAAAAAAAAGAAAAAUAGGUUUGUAUUUAGGUGAAAAUUACAAUAGGACCAAAUUACAAAAUUGGAAAACGACAGGGACUGUCUAUAAAUUUUACCCAAAAAUUCGCCAUUAGUAGGAGGAUCAAGCACCAUCAUCGACGCACACAACCCCAUCGCCCUUCUCUCUCCUCUCGAUCUCUAAUCCCCUGCGAAACCCUAAAUCUCAAGUCCCUCCAUCUCUCCCUCUUCCCCCUUUGCCCAGGUAAAAUCCCUUUCCCGAUCUCCAGAUUAUUCCCCUUUUCUAUCUCAAAUUCAUGGUUUCCCCAAUUCGUACUGUUGUUGGUGCUCGAUUCGGUUUUGAUUCGGCGUGAUUUGAUCUAAGUUUCAUCGAAUUCGUGUUUACUUUCGCUUUUCUCUCUGUAAUCGUGUUCCAAUCGUAGUUCUUUUGAUAGAUUAGAUUAUUCUAGGGAUUUUUAUUUUAUUUUUUUUAACCUUAUGUCACUGUUUUGGGCUCUUUUGUUCUUUGGAUUAGUGUUUUUAUUGCUUUUGCGUUUAAGAUCCCUUGUAUUGUUUGAUGAGUUUAUGUAAUUUUCCAUGCAUUAAUCUCGUGGACGAACUAACUCUUCCUCUUUUUUUUGUUUUUUGUUUUUUUGUUUUACUUUGUAGAUGAUUUCAAGUUAAAGAGUUAGUAGCAGUUUCUAGGGUUUCUAGCUCUGUUGCUUCAAUUGGUAAGCACUAUUGCAGCUACUGAUGUAGUUGGAAUUAAUGCAAAAUUUGCUUUAAUUAUUAUAUCUAUUCCUUUUUCCUACUCUUCGUAGUGCGAAAGUUCGAAUCUUUGUUGGUUUCAUGUAGCAUAAGCUCAUAGAUUGUAAUUUGGUUGAAGAAAAAAAGAGGAAAAAACAAACAAAAAGGAAGAAAAAGAAAGGGAAAUGUACAAAGGUGGGCUUGAUAGAUUUAAGAAAGCCCAAUCGUUGGAGCCGUUCGCGGUGACCCUCAAUUCGGCUACUAAAACUUCUUCGAAUCCUCCCGCUGAAGCGCUCGCUUCGAAGAAUUCCCUUCCGACCCAAAAUCGGCUGCAGCAGCAAGCUGUUUCCAAACCGGCUGCUCCGGAAGCCGUUCCUCCUCCUCCGGCUUCGCAUACCACCCAAAUUGGUGGGGGGCAGUCCAGCUGGCAGCCGCCGGAUUGGGCGAUUGAGCCCCGGCCGGGAGUUUAUUAUCUCGAGGUUUUGAAGGAUGGGGAGGUCAUCGAUCGGAUAAAUCUCGACAAGAGGAGGCAUAUUUUCGGGCGGCAGUUCCCGACUUGUGAUUUCGUGUUGGAUCACCAAUCCGUGUCGCGUCAGCAUGCGGCUGUCGUUCCCCACAAGAACGGAAGGUUAGGUUUUGCCGUUUUAUUCUUUUACAUUAGCAGCAACCUUUCUUUUGUCGGAUCAUUGCUUUUUAAGAAACGAUAGAGUUUGCAUGCUAACCAACAAUAAUGACUUAUGAGAACAGAGAAGACCAUCCACUUGCGCACAAUUGUAUGACAUUUGGCUUUGAACAAAGGAAAACAUAGGGUAGCUAAAUGACGCCAAAGGGAUUCUUUAUGCACUCCUUUUGGAGGCAAAGUAAAGAAACUAAUUAAUGUGUGUUGUCACAGUGCCAAUUUAGCUGUGCUUGUGCACGUGGUUUCAGGCGUAGUUACCUCUGGUAGAGCAUUUUGCAAAUAGAAAGGUUUAGAGCUUCUGUUUUGGUGGGAAGCUGUAAUUAGAUACCAGGCCCCAGAAUGAAGCUCCAAUUUGGAGUUUCUGUUUCCACCUUAGAGAGAAGCUGUUGGGGUGAUUUUAAUGUAGCGCCCGUUUGGCCACAUGGUUAGAGCCGCGUUUGUGGCACGCAACUGCAACAAAGUGGGAAUGUGAGAAAGCUCCAAAUCAGAGCUUUUCUCUGCUAGACAUGCGGCACGGUCCCCGAGGGGGCCGCUCUGCUAGGCCUAUCAAGGCCGUAGUGCUUCUUCUUGGAGCGCUGCUUAAACAGCAUUAAACUGAAUUUCGAAACCAAGAUCUUCUUAUUGUAACUGUCGUUCUUGUGCCUCCUACGGUUUUUACAGCAUAUAUGUGAUCGAUCUGGGAUCAGUUCAUGGUACAUUUGUCGCAAGUGAGAGACUGACAAAAGACAACCCAGUUGAGCUGGAAGUUGGGCAAUCUUUGCGGUUCGCUGCGUCGACUAGAAGUUACAUUUUACGCAAGAACGCAGCUGCUCUUUUCCCGAAACCCGCAAUUUCUACUGAGCUAAAUUUACCUUCCCCUCCCGACCCCAAUGAUGAAGACGGUGUUGUAGCAUAUAAUACGAUACUCAACCGCUAUGGGAUCAGUAAAUCCGAUCUCUCCUCGAAUUCGAAAAGCACAUCAAGCGGAACUGACGACAACCGUAUGCAAGGAAGACCUGCUAAGAGAAGUAAAAGGCUAAGCGUCGCAUUCAAGGAUCAGGUCGGAGGAGAAUUGGUCGAAGUAGUUGGAAUAUCGGACGGUGCGGAUGUCGAGACCGAGCCUGGCCCUAUCGGCGUAAAGGAAGGGAGUCUUGUGGGCAAAUACGAAUCCCUCAUACAAAUUACAGUAAUACCGAAAGGAAAGGAACAGGUGCCGCCGCCCACAGAAAAUGUAUCCCCCAAGGGUGUAACCGAAAAGCUCCAGCAAGUGUUGAACAAAGUGAAGAGCAAUCCGAAAAGCGGGAUUUACGACGGCCUUUACGGGGAUUCCUUAUCUGGUAAAGCUGCUUCUUCUUGGGCAUACAAAGGCGCCGAAGAAAAGCCCGUGAGUGAAAAACCUGUUGUGAUUACGGCAGAUGAAACCGAAAGCGACGAUUUGUUCGGCGAUUCUUGAUAAUGGAGAAAAACUGCUCUUAAAUGUUUGGGUUGUUCACGAGUACCCGAUGAACACUGCGCGAGAUCCCUGCUUUGCCUGAGAGAUUUUUGUUUAAUUCCCCAAAGUAUGCCCUACAAUACCUUAUGUUGUUCGAUAGCGGAUUCGGAUUGUAUCGGCGACUCUUGAAUGAUGAAUUAAUUUUUCCUAGCUUGAAAUGUGAACUGAAUCAAACCUUUCCAUUCUUUUGAUUCGUCACUUGGAGCAUCAUCGGAGUUUACCUCUGUAGUUGUUUUUUGUUAUUUAAACAACUAAAAAUUCUAUAUAAUUUGAUGUUCUAGGAUAUGAACUUGUCUUUUGUUGUUGUGGUUCGGAAACUUGUAAUGCUACUGGACCAAGUGGUGGAUGAUAAUUUUUUUAAAGAAAAAAUUUGAAAGCAUGGCCCAUUGUGCCAUACUGUGCUAAUAAGAUUUAGCAACCCCUUUUUUUUUAAAAAAAAAAUAGCCAAUAGUUACUUAACAAAGUGUAAAAUUUUUAAUAUAUAGAGAGAGAGAGAGAGAGAGAGAGAGAGAGAGAGAGUUGAGCUGGAAUGCUAUCUGUAGCAAAUGGGCUCUGUUGCCACCUAUUUGUUUUCGAUGAUGGAGCUUUCAAAUCGAGGAUCGGUGCCAUUGAAAAUGAUCUAUACCACUUGAAGUAUCUAGAAAACAAAUUUCAUACUUUUCCGAUAUUAUUGUCUUCUCCAUCAAGUGGGCGUAAAAAUGAACGGCUGAAAAUGAAUAUCCUUUAAAAAGUGAUGAUAGGAAUUUUUUAAUUAAGAUCGGGAGUAUAGAUUUUGUUCUAAAUAGUUUAAAGAAUUUUCUAACUAAAAUUCAAUUGAUUUGGAUAACUUUACACUGUUAAACGAGAAAACGUCUCAUAUCUAUCAUUAAAAUUACAAAAUUUGAAACCCUUUGAUCAUUAGGUCAAUGAUGUUGAAAAUAUUUGAAAUUUGGUUUCUAAAUACUUCAAGUAGUAUAGAUCAUAUUCAACGGUAUCGAUUGUCGAUUUGAAGGCUCUAUCUUCGAAAACAAAUGGGUGGCAACGGAGCUCGUUUGUUAACGAUAGCAUUCCAGCUCAACUCACACACACACACACACACACACAUAUAGAGCUAUUAUGCUAUCGAAAGUAUAGAGAAUUUGAUGCUUUCGAUGGGUUGAAUAGUAUCACUAGGGUUGAGUGGUCUUCAAAGGAUAAUAAUAUUAAUCCCAAGGUUAAAAAUAACUAAAGGAACUGAUCUAAGAGAGCCAGGAACUGAUCAAAGAGCCAAAAAGUCGAAAGCACCAGAUCCUCUAUUCUUCUGAUAGCAUAGUAGCUCUACUCUCUCUCUGUAUAUAAUAAGAAUUUAGAAUAUAUUGGUGUCAAAAAAGAUUAAAUGUUUUAUGCAUAUUGUGUCCACAGACAAGUAUCAUGUAGUCAUGGUAUGCGCCGUGUUGUACCAUAUCGAAAAAUUGUCAGCACGGUAUCAUGUCACGACACUUAAAUUUUCAUUCAUAAGUUAAACCAGGCUGUUUUUAUUUUGGGUUAAUUUUAUAGAGCUUCAUGUAAACAUACCAAAUAGCAAAUAUAUUCCUACAAAAUUCAACUUUUCAUAUUUAUUCAUACAAAAGUCUAGUGAUAUUUUUUGCUCCUCUGGUUUAUUGUCAUUAGAGUAUUGUUUAUUUUUUAAUAAAAAAUAAGUGAAAUAAUAUUAUUGCCAUUACAAAUAUGUCCCCUCAAAAGCGCCAACAGUUAAAAUUAUAUAGAAAUAUCUACCAAAAAAUUUUCAACAGUCAUCUUUUUAUUUUUUUUACCAUUACAAAUAAUAUUAGAGGAAUUAAAAGGUUAAUUUAUCUCAUUUACUAAUUAGUGUAAAAUAUUUUACCUAUAGUUAACUAUAUUCUUCUAACAUAUCCUAAUAGUAGUGGUAUAGUUGAAAAAGUUAAAUUUUUUGUUGAGAUAAAUAUGAAAAAUUAAACAUUGUAGAAAUAUAUCAGUUAUUCGGUAUAAUUACAGAGAGUGUAUGCAAUUAAAAAAUUUUAAAAUAGUUUGGAAAAUCGUGCGGUGCAUUUAAAGAUUGUUUCAAGAGAAUUAAAAUUGAUUACUAAGGCUUAUUUGGCAUGGUUUUUUUNUUAUUAAAGCGUAUAAAUACAACACCUAUAAAUUUCAAUUGUGAUUUGCACCAAACAGACCUUCGCAACAUAGGCAAGAUGCAGACCUACUAGCUAGCAACAUUACUUUUUUUUUUUUUUCCAGCUCGUUUUCCGCCACCCUUGAGGCCUUGUUGGCUCACCCAUGUAGCUAAGUUUAUAUACUAAAUGAAUGAAGCGGGUAGCGUGCUAUCUUUUCCUCAAAAAAAAAAAAAAAAAAAAAAAAAAAAAAAAAAACUUACUUUUAAUCAAAAAAGUUUUAUUUCUUGUUGAGUUUAUAGAGCAAUUUUGGAUGUAUCGAUUUUAAUUUUAUCCUAACAUCUCAAAAUUUUUAUGCUAAAUUUCUGUGGUUUUAAAAAAAUUUUAUUUCCCAAGGAAAGAAAUUUCUCUUUAUAGUUUAAUUUCAUCAUAAACUUAUUUUCUACCACACUUCAUGCUGAACAUAUUACUUACUAUUCAUAGAGAAUCCAAAUGAGGAGUCAAAAUAAAUAAAUAAAUAAAUACAUAAAUCCAAGUAUAGGGUUUGUCAAAUCCUUGACCAAUUUGGACUAGUUUUAGAAAUGUCCAAUGGUUCUCAUUGACCCUCCAACUCAUCCUCUUACCCUUCCAAACAAGUGUUUUCUUCUUUUUUUUUUUCUUCCUUUCUUCCUUCACAAAUGAAAGCUUGAAUAAUCUUUGCCGCCCCUCCCUCUCCUCUCCAACAACCAUCUCUCUCUCUCUCUCUCUCUCUCUCUCUCUCUCUCAUCGUUGUCGCUGUUGCUGUUGUUGUCGCCAUCGCUAUGGCUUACAACCAACAACCGCCUCCGCGCUACGUGAUGUUAUCUGAGUAUGGCGGUGGCAGUGGGGGGGAGUCCCUGAACCUCCGUCCUCCGCCCCACCGACGCAACCUACCCCGUUACUACUCCCACGGUCGAUCGAAAGGCGGUGCCUGUUGCUGUGGCUGCCUCUGCUGGUGCUGCUGCUUUCUCCUCCUUUUCAUCCUUGCGGUUGUCGGCACCGCCGCUUACUUCUUCUUCAUCAUGAAGCCCAAGAUCCCUUCCUACUCCGUCUCGGCCCUCUCGAUCUCCUCCUUCGAGUUCCGCGCCUCCGAUUUCACCCUCCAUGCGAAGCUCACCGCGCAUAUUCGUGCAGAAAACCCUAACGACAUGAUAGGCAUCUCUUACGGUUCAGGUUCCAGCGUAGUCGUGUCGUAUAAAAAUUCGACGUUGUGCUCCGGUCACCUACCGAGCUUCUACCAAGGACACCGAAACACGACCGUCAUGCAGGUGGUCAUGGAGGGGCGACAUACGGUCGAUUCAGGAUUUCAAGAUGCUCUCAAGGAGAACAGGGAAGCAGGGCAAGUCCCGCUUGACGUGUACGUGCGCGUGCCGGUCUCGUUGCGGCUCAACGAGGUCGACCUUCGGGAGAUCACGGUGAACGUCCAUUGCGCGCUCGUCGUCGACAGCUUGUCUCCGAACACCAAGGUCAACAUAAAGUCGGCGCAGUACAAGGUCAACGUCGAGUUCUAAGGCCUCAUUCAAUCGUCGUGAUUGGCACCGCUCAGCAACGAUAGCAACGACGACGACGACGACGAUGGCAAUUUAGGGUUUCAUGAGAUGAAGAGAGAAAACCCUAGCUUUUGUUUGAAUCUUAUUUUUGUGUCAGGUUGAUUUUAUACUUGUGAGAGGUCAAAAUGGUAGAGAGGAUCCAACAACAAAAAGGCAUAUUAGUGUUGACUCCGUAAGAUGGAAUACGUAUAUAGAGAGAUGGAGCAUGUAUUGAGAAUUAUAUAGUUUGAGUGAGGAGGGGGAUAGGAAUAAUAUAAAUUUUAUCCAAAUACUUUAUUUUAUUUUAGAAACAUUUCAAAAACAAAUAAAUACCAAGAAAUUAACUGUAGUUCUAUUUAUGCUCGCAUUUACUUUUUGUUUUGUCUCUUUUUUUUUCCUUCCUACAUGUGGUGUAUUUUAUUUUCUUUUAUAUUCUACUUUUCAAGGUAUGUAUACAUUAGAUAAAUUGAAAAAAAAAAAAUCAUUAUAAAAUUUUUAUUUAUUUGUAUAGUCAUAAAGAGUUUCAAAUUAUACUUUCAAUUUAUUGCGAUUACUUUAGUUAUAAAAUAAAUAAACUAUUUAAUUAUUUGUUUUUAUUGCUAUAAAAUUUUUGCACCAGCUGCAUUUUAGGAGUCCCUAAAAUUUUAGAAGACUAGGGAUCAAAUUCUGUAAAUAUGCAUGUGUAGGUUCCAAAUCCCACCAUUUGUAAGCCUCUCCAGAAUAAGGCUUCAUUUAGGAUUGCAGGAAGAUUAUGUUACAUAUGGUGAGAAAGUACGAUGAAAAAAUACACUAUUUGUACGAUGGAAAAAUACUAUAUUUGUUUUCAUAAGUAAUAUUAUGUUCCGUAUAUCGCGAUGAAUAGAUUAUGAUAUAUUUUCUGCGGUCCUAUCAGAGGAUACAGAAGCAUAUUCCUAUAUGCUUUUACCCUAACUCCAUUUUAUAUAAUAGCAUCAGAUAAGUUUCAAUACCAAACUAAGUCUAAAAAUGACUAUGCUAGACAAUGAUUCUCAGAACAUUUCAAAUGGGUGGUGCUUCUGAACAGCAAUAUAUGGACUAAGCUUCAUAUUCUCAAAUAAAUAAAUAAAUAACUAAAUAAUAAUAUGGUAAAAGUUGGGCACUUGGGCCUUGCAAUCUAUAGCCUAAACCCUACCUCUUGGGCUUGGAAAACAAUUCCCAUGAGUAAAAAAGAAAAUUAAGUGUUUGCUUUCUUUUGUCUGUUUGGUUCCUCAGAAAAGUCUGAAAACUAAAAAAAGUUUGGACAAAAUUUUUGUUUUAUGGAAAACUUCUUUAUUCAAGUUUUCAUCUGUUUUAAACUAGUUAUUUUGAAAAAAAAAAAAAAAAAUAGAUCACAUGGAAAAUUUGAGUUUUUGUUUUUCAGGGUUUUUUUUUGAAAAAAAAUAGCACUAGUCCUUCAUAAAAUCUGAAAAAAUAGUUUUUCAAAACAUCUAAUUUUACUUAGAACCAGACGAGCGAAAAAUUGAAAAAGGGGUUUAGUUCUGAAAUUUGAACUUAAAUUUACAUUCAAAAUCUAUCUUCUACAUCUGAAUUAUGCAUUUAAAUAAGAAUUUAAGUUUUUGAUUCAAAAAAGUUCAAGUGGUUUAGUUUAUAUUUGGAUUUAUCUAAAAUUUUAUGUUUUAAUUGAAAUUCAAAUUUUAAAUUGUAAGAGUCAAAAUUUCAUGAGGGCAAUUUAAAAAUUUCGAAAAAUAUUUUUUAAGCUUAAGCUAAUUUUUUACUUUAAUUAACUAAUUUAUAGUUGUAAGAAUUGCAUAAAGUAUACUAACUAUAUUUGUAAAAAUAAAUGACACAUUCAAAUUUUAAAGUCAAAGUAUUGUUGAUUGGCUUAAAUCAAACAAAUUGAAAGAUUAAACAGUAAAAUCAAAAUUUUAAAAAAUCUGCAAAAUGGUUUAUAGUUUAGAUACGUUUUAUAUCUUUUUACCUGUUUUACAAAAGUAGAAAAGUUCUAUCCUAUUUUUGUGUUUUCCAAAAAAAGUAAAUAAAUAAAUAUAUAAAAACUAUGCUAAUCUAGUCUAUAGUGAUGCUCAUUUAUGCACACACAAAGCAUGAAAGAUUUGGUCUUGUAUUUGCUUUAUUUUUUUGUCCUUUUCCCCUUGUAUACAUCAGAUUAAAAAAAGUUUAUUUCCACAGUAAAAAAAUUAGAAAAAGGAAAAAAAAAGAAAAAGGUUAGGUGAAGUUCUAGAAGCCCAAAGAUUCUAAUUCUUUAAUUGAAAAAAAAAAAGAGAAAAAAAAUAUAAAACAAAUAUGUUUCAGAUCAGAAUCAGUCAAAACUAUCAAAUCUCAAACAUCAACACCAUGAUUUCUUAUCCUCAUAUUUCUACAUCAGAUAUAUAACCAAUUAUUACACAGAAGAAAAAGUCACUACCCCUAAUCCAACUUAGCAAAAGCACUUUUUUAAACAUUAGUUAACAACUUCUCUACAAAGCACUCCUACAACUACUUGACCAGAAUCAUAUUCUUGGUGUGCCAUACAAAGAAAUUAAUCCACCCAUCCACCCACCAUUUCAUCAAAUUUAACAAUUUUAAUUAAUAUAGUGUUGGAUUGCCGGCGCUAAUCAUUAAUCCCAAAAGCUCAGGUUGUUAGAAAUACACAACCAAUUCACUUAAAGCGUAUAGAUACAGUGCUCACGGAUCUCAAUUGUGACUCGGCUCAUCCAGCAUCACGCCAUUUCGAGCAUGACUCGAUCCAACAUGGCCUUCCGCCACAUGGCAGAAUACUGACACAUUUAAGCCAACAUUAGCAAAUAAAAUUAAAAUAAUUAACUACUUAUUAUAGCGAAUACAUAUUGAGUCAUUAAAUUUAAUAAAAAAUUCGAUAAAAAUUAUAUAAAACUUAUCUAAAGUACAAACCAUUUUAAUUCGACUACCCGACCUUUUAAAAUGUUAAUUUUAGUAUCCAACCGUUCAAUUUGUUUGAUUAAAGUAAUUUGAUGGCUUUUGAAAUAUAAAAUUUGAGCUAAUUGUUUAAUUUAAUGAAAUUAUAGUUGCGUGAAAUCCAUCAAACCACCGGUUCAUCAAAUUUAAUAAUUUUAAUUAAUUAUCUUCUUAGCGAAUAAAAUUAAAAUAAUUAGUGUCUUAAAUCUAAUAUAUAUAUAUAGAGAGAGAGAGAGAUAGAGUCCGGCUGCUAUGCUAUCAAUAGCACCAAGCAUUUGAAACUAUCAAGUUUUUUGCCGUUGGAUUAACCUCUUUGAUUAUUUUUACCCGUUAUAACCAACCACCCACUCAACCCUAAGGGCCCACAUCAUCCUAACGGCACAUUUUUCCAUCUAUGGACUAAAAAACUAAUAGCACCAAUAACUUUGUACUAUUGAUAGUAUUCCAGCCUAAUUCUAUAUACAUAUAUAUAGAGAGAGAAAGAGAGAGUCCGGCUGGCCACUAUCGAUAGUACCAAGUAUUUUGUGCUAUCAAGUCUUCUGCCACACGACUAUCCGAAUUUUUAAAAUUUUUAUAAAUUUUUAUAAAUUCUAUAAAAAUUAUAAAUUAAAAUUUGAAGUUAAAAGAUUACUAAUGGGCUCAAUUUAAAUAAAUUAAAAGAUUAGGUAGAAAAAUUAAGAUUUUAAAAGGUCAGAUAUAUAGUCCAAUCAAAAUGGGUGAUAAUUAAAGAGGCAUGCAAGCUUUAUACAUUUUUACCAAUUUUUACCUAAAGAAACAAUUGUAUGUUCCGAAACACAUAUCAAAAAAAAUAUUUACAGCAUAAAUAAAUUAAAAACAUGCGUGUAAACAAAUUAAAUUUAGAAAAUAAAUCAAUUAAGAAGUAGACUCUGCUACGUACUAAUAACUAUUUAAAUUCAAAUUACAGAUUCAGAAGUCAUUUUAACUUAAAAAUUUAAAUUUUAAGUUUAAAUUUAAAUUGCAAAUGUGGCAUGCAAUAUUAUUGUGACCUAGAGUACUCCACAUGAAUUGCAUGCUUUAGUGGUAGUGCAAUGCAACCAAGCAUGGACAGACAGACCAUGCAGCUGGGGGGGAACAAAGGAGAGGGGGAAUGCAGGCAGGCAGCACCAACCCUGUCGACCGCCUGUCGAUCCACCCGACGAUCGGUCAGGCAGCACUGACGGCGACCGCACGAGCGAAAACGAGCGGUGGCCCGGCACGGCACGUGCGCACGCGACAUCGAAUCAGGAAGGAGAGGAGAGGAAAGAAAAAAAAAGAAGAAGAAAAGGAGAGAGAUGGGUCAUGGAAUAUACCUACCAUAGUGGAGGGUGGAGGAGGGGUGGGAAGGGACAGUGAUGGUCUCUACACUUAGUGGAGCUCUCUCUCUCUCUCNGAAUUUUCUAUAAAAUUUUCAUCGGAUUUGGAUUGUUUUACACUGUUAAACUCACAAACACACCACAUCGUCGAUCAAGUCUAACGAAGCCAAUCAAGUCUAAAGUUGUUUCCAAUUACUUUCAAUAGUGCAGAUCAAGUCUAACGGAGCCAAUCGUCGAUUUGGAAGCCGCAUCAUCGAAAACAACUUGGUAGCACGGAGGCCUCCGUGCUACCGAUAGUAUAGCAGUCUAGUUCCAUAUAUACAUAUAUAUAUAUAUAUAUAUAUAUAUAUAUAUAUAUAGUCCGGCUGCUAUGCUAUCAAUAGUACCAAGCAUUUGGAACUAUCAAAUUUUUUGUCGUUAGAUUAAUCUCUUUGAUUAUUUUUACCCGUUACAACCAACCACCCACUCAAUUCUAAGGGCCCACAUCAUCCUAGCCGCACAUUUCUCCAUCCAAAGGCUAAAAAACUUAUAGCACCAAUAACUUUGUGCUAUUGAUAGUAUUCCAGUCUAGUUCUAUAUAUAUAUAGAGAGUCCGGCUGGAAUACUAUCGAUAGUACCAAGUAUUUUGUGCUAUCAAGUCUUCUGCCACUCGACUAUCCGACUUUUUAAAAUUUUUAUAAAUUUUUAUAAAUUCGAUAAAAAUUAUAAAUUAAAAUUUGAAGUUAAAAGAUUACUAAUGGGCUCAAUUUAAAUAAAUUAAAAGAUUAGGUAGAAAAAUUAAGAUUUUAAAAGGUCAGAUAUAUAGUCCAAUCAAAAUGGGUGAUAAUUAAAGAGGCAUGCAAGCUUUAUACAUUUUUACCAAUUUUUACCUAAAGAAACAAUUGUAUGUUCCGAAACACAUAUAAAAAAAAAUAUUUACAGCAUAAAUAAAUUAAAAACAUGCGUGUAAACAAAUUAAAUUUAGAAAAUAAAUCAAUUAAGAAGUAGACUCUGCUACGUACUAAUAACUAUUUAAAUCCAAAAUACAGAUUCAGAAGUGAUUUUAACUUAAAAAUUUAAAGUUUAAAUUUAAAUUGCAAAUGUGGCAUGCAAUAUUAUUGUGACCUAGACUCCACAUGAAUUGCAUGCUUUAGUGGUAGUGCAGUGCAACCAAGCAUGGACAGACAGACCAUGCAGCUGGGGGGGAACAAAGGAGAGGGGGAAUGCAGGCAGGCAGCACCAACCCUGUCGACCGCCUGUCGAUCCACCCGACGAUCGGUCAGGCAGCACUGACGGCGACCGCACGAGCGAUAACGAGCGGUGGCCCGGCACGGCACGUGCGCACGCGACAUCGAAUCAGGAAGGAGAGGAGAGGAAAGAAAUAAAAAAGAAGAAAAGGAGAGAGAUGGGUCAUGGAAUAUACCUACCAUAGUGGAGGGUGGAGGAGGGGUGGGAAGCGACAGUGAUGGUCUCUACACUUAGUGGAGCUCUCUCUCUCUCUCUCUCUCUCUCUCUCUCUUAAAAACUCUCUCUCUCUUAAAAUCUCUCUCUCUCUCUCUCUCUCUCUCUCUAUAGUCUUUAUUAUUGAGUAGCUCCCACUUUAAGGCUAUUCAAUCAUAGAGCACCAAAUGAAGAAGAGUGAGGAGAGGAUGAGGUAAGAGAGAGAAUAUUGCCUGCACCUGCUUCACAAGCACAUCUCAUAUACAUACAUAUAUAUAUAUAUAUAUAUAUAUAUAUAGAGAGAGAGAGAGAGAGAGAGAUAGUCCAGCUGAGAUACUAUCGAUAGCACGAAGCAUUUAGUGCUAUCAAGUUUCUACCGUUAGAUUUAUCUCUUUUAUCAUUUUCACCCGUUCAAUUAUACUAUUCAACCAACCACCCACUCAACUUUAGAAGGCUCACAUCAUCCUAGCCGCAUAUUUUUUAAUCUAAAGACAGAAAACUUAAUAGCACCAAGUUAUUGGUGCUAUUAAUAGUAUUCUAGCCUAGUUCUCUCUCUCUCUCUAUAUAUAUAUAUAGAGAGAGAGAGAUAGAGAGAGAGUAGGGCUACUAUACUCUUAUGAGUAUUGGGCCCUUCGUACUCAUAAGUUGUUUUCGAUGAUGGGGUUUCCGAAUCGACGAUUCACUCCGUUAAAUAUGAUCUAGAGUAUUUGAAACUUCUAAAAAAUNGAGCUCUCUCUCUCUCUCUCUCUCUCUCUCUCUCUUAAAAACUCUCUCUCUCUUAAAAUCUCUCUCUCUCUCUCUCUCUCUCUCUCUAUAGUCUUUAUUAUUGAGUAGCUCCCACUUUAAGGCUAUUCAAUCAUAGAGCACCAAAUGAAGAAGAGUGAGGAGAGGAUGAGGUAAAAGAGAGAAUAUUGCCUGCACCUGCUUCACAAGCACAUCUCAUAUAUAUAUAUAUAUAUAUAUAUAUAUAUAUAUAGAAAGAGAGAGAGAGAGAGAGAGAGUCCAGCAGAGAUACUAUCAAUAGCACGAAGCAUUUGGUGCUAUCAAGUUUUCUACCGUUAGAUUUACCUUUUUUAUCAUUUUAAUCCGUUUGAUUAUACUAUUCAACCAACCACCCACUUAACCUUAGGAGGCUCACAUCAUCCUAGCCACACAUCUUUUAAUCUAAGGACAAAAAACUUAAUAGCACCAAGUUAAUUAUUGGUGCUAUUAAUAGUAUUCCAGCCUAGUUCUCUCUCUCUCUCUCUAUAUAUAUAUAUAUAGAGAGAGAGAGAGAGAGAGAGUAGGGCUACUAUACUCUUAUGAGUAUUGGGCUCUUCGUACUCAUAAGUUGUUUUCGAUGAUGGGGUUUCCGAAUCGACGAUUCACUCUGUUAAAUAUGAUCUAGAGUAUUUGAAACUUCUAAAAAAUAAAUUUUGUAAUUUUUUAAAAUCAUAAUAAAGUCCAUCAAACGGGCAUAAAAUGAACAGUCAAAAUCGAACGACGUCCUAAAAAUGGAUGAUCGGAUCCUUCAAUUUAAGAUCGGAGUUAUUGAUCUUUAUCUAGGUAGUGAAUAAAAUUUUCUAUCAAAAAUUCAAUCUAUUCCAAUUCUUUUACACCGUUAAACUAGCAAGUAUUCCACACCGGCCGUUAAAAAUUGUCAAAUUUGUGACCUCUUGAUCGUAAGGUAAAUGAUGUCGAAAAAAUAUGAAAUUUAAUUUCUAAAAAUUUUAAAUAUUCUAGAUAAUGUUUAAUGGUAUGAAUCGUCAAUUCGAAAGCUCUAUCAUCG